rnacentral:lncRNA from 1 species
AUGUCUUGUACUAAAGGAAGCAUGUUCAAUGCUUGUAGGCAAUUAGACGUAUUCUCAAUCGAAGAAUAGCUCAUAUCAAUAUGAAGUAGAGAGGUGAGUCGAGAAAGCCAAUUAGCGUUACUCAAUGUAAGUGGAUUACCAGAAAGAUCCAGAAUUUGAAGUCUUGAGAGAUUUCCGAGCUGAUCGGGUACCGUCCCAAAAAAAUACGACUGAGAUAUGUUAAGAUAGUUUAACUUCUCGAACGAACCGAUCCACUGGGGAAUCGAUAUGCCUGCAAAGUAAUUGCUGCUGAGAUCCAAAUAGCUCAGUUGCUUAAGACGGAGCAAAGAAGGAUUGAUUUUGUUGCCGACAAGUUCUCUCCCUUGAAGAUCUAAAUGCACGAUGUGUCCGGUUCGGUUGUCGCACUCCACGCCUUCCCAUUUGCAGCAAUUUUUUCCCUCCCAAGAAAAGAAGACAGCUGCAGUUCGGUUGAAACCUCCGGCAAACCUCAGAAGUGCUUCCCUCUCGGCAUCUGGGCAACUCAUAUUAGAAGAUUUGAAUGCCACAGCAUAUGCAAACGAGAGGAACAACAGCAAAGCUCUUUUUAUUGCUUUGUAAUAAUCCAUUCUCAGAAUUUCUUCUUCUUCUUCUUCUUUUUUUUCUUUUUUUUUUUUUUUUUUUUUUUGUUUUCCCCGAUUUUUUUUUCUUUUUUUUUAGCAGUGCCUCACGUUGGAUUUAUAGUUACCAAAGCUUAUAGGCUAAAAAGUCAGUCAACACGAAGUUGCACCGAAAUGCCACCAUAAAAUGCUUCCCACUUUGUUGACGAGGGUGUUUAAUUUUCCAAGAUGACUUAGACUUCACCAUUAUGGAAAAGCCGAAAGCUAAUUUAAUAAAGAGACAAUCUAUAAUAUCUAUAAUCUAUAAUAACAUACAUGAAUUCUCAGUUUUGGAACAGGUGGCGAGCGUGGAGGCGUGGGCAGGGGCGAGCGCGGGGCGCGGGCAGGCGGGCGCGCGUGGCGGGGCGCCUCGUGGCGCGGGCACGCGGGGCGCGGGCAGGAAGCGCGAGCCGGCGCAAGGCGCGGCGGGACAGGUGGCGGCGAGCGAAGCGCGGCAGGGGCGAGCGUGGGGCGCGGGCCGGCGGGCGUGCGUGGCGGGGCCGCCGCGUGGCGCGGGCGAGCGGGCUGCGCGGCAGGCGGCACGUGGGCGGGCCACGUGCGCGGGGGAGAGGAGAGGGAGAGGAGAGGAGAGGCGGGCGCACGUGGGCGCGGGCGCGCGGGGCGCGCGCAGGCGGGCGAGCUCGCGGGCCGCCGCGUGCGCGGGCGAGAGGACGGGGAGAGGAGAGGAGAGGAGCGAGAGGAGAGGCGGGCCCAGCUAGGAGAGCAGAGAAGGUAGAGAGAAGGGAUUUUUUUUUUUUUUUUUUUGUCUCUUUUUGUCUCUUUCUACUUUUUCUUUUUUAUUUUUAUUUUAUAAUAUUGUUCUCUUAAUAUAUGAUUAAAAAAUUUAUAAAUUUUUUAAUUCAAUUAAAAUUUUAUUUAUUUUUAUAAAAAUUUAAAAUAUAUAAAUAAUUUUAAAUAAGUUAAUUAUUUGUAUUCAAUAUAAAUUUUAAUUAAGAUGAAUUAAAGAAUUAUUAAAAAUAGAUAAAAAAUAAGGAAGGAUUUAAAAAUGAAACAUUAAAAAAGUAAAAAAAAUAAAAAUAAAAGAAUAAGAUAGAUAGAAGAAAGAAUAGAGAGCAAAAUGUAAGAACAAUAAAUUAAUUUUUCUAAAAAUUAUAUAUAAUUAUAAUAAUAAUUAUAAUAUAUAUAAUUAUAAAUAUAAUUAUAUAUAAUUUCUUAUUAGUAUGAUUUUUAUCUUUAUUUUUUUAAUCUUUCUUAUAAUUUAUUUUUAUAAUUUUAUUACAGCAAUAGUUGUUUAUUUUUUAGUUAUUUUUUUAUAUAAUUUUUUGACUCCUUAUUUUUAUUAUUAUUUAUUUUAUUUAUAUAUUUAUUUCUGCAAAAUCAUCCCGCCGCAACGCGCGGGUCCUUCACUAGUUAUCAAUAUAUCCCUCUCAAAUUCUCACCUGUUAUAUAUUGCGCUGAAAAACAUCUGUUCCUAAAUAUAUCUUCCAAAAUUUUUAAAUAAAAAUUAAAAGAAAAUCAAAUCCUUGGAUUCGGUUGGGUCUGAAUAAUUAAUAUACUAUAUACCAAUAUUCUAAAAGGAAAUAUGUAAAAAAAACAUACCCUGUCAUUUAACAUCCGGGCGGCACUCGAUCUACAUAUUUAAGUUAUUAAUGCACUUAUUGGGUCUAUUUGAACGAAUUUGAAUAGUGGCUGCCCACAUAAGCUCGAGUAUGGAUAAGGAUGUCCAGUACGGAUAUCCGAAAUUUUAUCCGAAACCAAAUCUGAAAAGAACGAAUUUAUUCAAUUCUAAACGGAAAUAGUUUUGGAUAUGAAUAUAAGAAACAAAAACUCAAAUAAUUUGGAUUCAGAUAUGAAUUUAUUUAUAUAUUUUUUGAAUUAUACUUUAAAAAUUUAGAUUUAAUGUUAUAUAUUUUAAAAUAUUGUAAAUAGAAAUAAUUGUUUCGGGUUCGGGUUUGGGCUCUGGUUUCGAAGAAGUUUAGGUAGGGCUGGCAAACGAGCGAGCCGGCUCGCGUUCGACUCGUGUUCGGCUCGAUAUUUGGCUUGCUCGAGCUCGACUCGAAAUUAAAUGAGCCGAGUUUGAACAAAAUAAAAGGCUCGAAAUUCAUUUCAAGCCGAGCUUGAGUAUUACUCGGCUCGUUCGAAUUAGGCUCGAAAAGCUCGAAAAGCUCGAAAAGCUCGAAAAUAUAUAUAUAUAUAUAUAUAGGCCGGGGCUACUAUACUCUUAUGAGUAUAGACCCCCUUGUACUCAUAAAUUUUUAACCGUUGAUUGAUGGGAUGUGUGGUUAGGAUGAUGGUGGUCCCACUUAAAAUGAUAGUGGUCCCCUAGAGUUGAGUGGGUAGUUGGUUGAAUAGUAUGAUCUAACGGAUGGAAAUGAUCAGUGAAAUAAAUCUAAGGGCCGAAAACUUAUGAGUAUAAAAGAGCCAAUACUCAUAAAAGUACAGUAGCCGGACUCUAUAGAUAUUUAUAUAUAUAUAUAUAAUGUAUUUUAAUUAUAUAUAGGCUUUAAUUUAAUUUGGGCCAUUAUUGUUGGCCCAUAAAAUAAACCCAACAAGUACAACCGUGCAAUUGAGCCCAACUCUAAAUUUACAUAACACACUCUCUCUUUCAGACUUUCACUGUUGCACAUAACCCUAAAAUAUGAUAAUAUUCAAAUUUCCAAAUCCCUAAUUUUUUUUCCUCUCUCUCUCUCUCUCUCUCUCUCUGACCCUCACCCAGUCAGGCAGUCACCCUAGCUCACAUUUCUUACAAUUAUUUUGUAUUUUGAACUAUUGAACAUAUUGUAUCAAAUUAUAGGUAAUGUUCUAUAAAAAUUAAACUAUUGAUUAUAUUAUGUCGAGAAUUUCAAUCGGCUCGUUUAGAGCUCGAGCUCGGCUCGACUCGAAAUUAGGCUCGCUCGAGUUCGGCUCGAAUUAAUUUCAAGCCGAGCUUGAGCCUAGAUUUAAGCUCGAAAUUAAUUUCAAGCCGAAUUUGAGAUGACAUAAGCUCGCUCGAGCUCGGCUCGUUUCCACCCCUAAGUUUAGGUCGGGGUCGUGUUUGGAUAUAGAUUUUUAAAAUCCAUCGGAUUGGGUUUAGAUUCGGGUUUCGGGUUUGGUAGUCGGGUUUGGAUUCAGUUUUUUGAAAAUUUGCUCUAAAUCCAACCCGUUGACAUCUCUAGGUACAGAUCGGACAAGGAUCGAGUCUAGAUCGAGUACAGAAACCUCUAUAUGUAUAUAUUGUAUAAAGCACAAAUAUUUAUUCUAUGGUAAGUGUAAAAUAAAAAUAUAAAUUUAUAAUAGAUACACCAUAAGUUCAAAACACAUGCAUGUAUUUUUUUGAGAAAAAGGUAGCACGCUACCUGCUUCAUUCAUUUAGAGGAUGAAUUAGGCUUACAUAAUGGAGGCAACCGGGGCCUCCGACGGGAGAAAGAGCGUCAAAAGCCAGAAAAACAAAGACAAGAAACGAAAACGACAAGAGACUAAAACCAAAAAAAAGAAGGAAAUGAGGGUAAGGGAAGCGAAAGCGACAAAUAACUAAAACCAAAAGAGGAAGAAAGAAAGUGUAAAAGCGACAGGCGUCAAACAGCAGGGAUCCAGCAGGGUCAACAAGGAGCGAUCCAGGUGUCAAGCAGCAGUUUUGCCCGUUCCAGGCACCGAGUAGGGUUGGGGGCAAUCUCUCGAAAGAUUAAACUAUUCCUUUUCGUCCAAACGACUCACCAAAUGGCAGAAAGGAGGGAGGGGGAAAUAAGUCUCUCUUUGGCGUCUCUUAGAUCAAUAAGUUUAGACCAGAGGUCUCUCACAUCGUCCGAGGGAUCAGUCAGAGCCUCCAAGCCGCCUACGCUCAGCAAAAUAAAGCGAACAAAGACACAGGAGCUUAUGAGGUGGUCGCAACUUUCCAAAUUAACGGCACAGAAAAAACAUGUUUGAUCCGCUAGCCACCCUUGCUUAUGGAGCCUGUCUGCAGUGGGGAUCCUCUUACGAAGUAGUAGCCAUAGGAAUACUUUGAUCUUGCCAGGGAUAUUCAAUUUCCAGAUAUGUUGACUUAGGGGGUCCACCAUGCCUGAGUCCGUGAGAAAGUGAUAAAGGGAUCUGACUGAAAACUUUUGGUUGGAGGUCCAACGCCAUUUGAUUAGGUCCGGAAGCUGAGUUGGCCGGAUGGGCCGAAGCAAGUCCAUAAGCAGGCCCUUUUGUCUAUGAUAGUUCACAGGUAGAGGCCCUGCUGGACCGCGGCAGAUAUAUUGCCACCGCCAGCCAUUAGGGCCCCAGCACUGAGCAAUAGUUGUCUCCUUGUUUCGGGUAUGACCGUAGAUGUCGGGGAAGAGAGUACGAAGGGGAGCCUCGCCGUACCAAAUUGAUGACCAAAUCUUAAUAUCUUUGCCGUUUCCGAGGUUGUAGGUUGUACCGCAUUUAAAGAUGUCCCGGCAUCGCAUUACACUUUUCCACCACUGAGAAUAUGGCACAAAGGCCCUGCCCUCAUGAAGAGGUUUGCGUCUAAUAUAAUAAAUCGAUUUGACUAACUUCUUCCAAGGUAGAUCUGGUUCGCUAAAGAAGCGCCACCACCAUUUAGUUAAAACCGCUGUAUUCAUAGUUGCCAAAUCCUUGAUUCCUAGGCCUCCUUCUUUUUUGCUUUUGCAGACUGCCCUCCAAUUUACGAGGCAUGCCCCUCCAGAUAUGUUUGUGCAUCCGCACCAAAAGAAAGCUCUCCUCAAGGCUUCAAUUCGGCGCAGAGCCCAUUGUGGAGCUUUAAAGACGGAGAGGAAGUGAAGUGGCAGAUUUGAAAGGACAGAGUUCACGAGGAUCAACCUCCCUCCUUGGGAGAGGAGCUUGGCCUUCCACCUUUCAAUUCUCUUAUAAUGCGGUUGAUAAUGAUCGACCAGUCCUCUUUUCGCAAAGAUCUAUUGCAAAGGGGUAGUCCCAGAUAGCGGAUAGGGAGGCUUCCAACUUGGCAGCCCAGGAUGUUAGCAAGCCUGGUAGCUCUAGAGGUGUUUGAGCCCAGGUAGUACAGUUCGGACUUGUCCAUAUUGAUUUGGAGUCCAGAGGCCCAUUCAUAAAAUUUCCAUAAGAAACGCAAAUUUCGCAGGAUAAAUUUCCUAGGCUCGCAGAAGAAGAUCGUGUCGUCGGCAAAUUGAAUCAGAAUAGUUUGACAGUCCGAAGUUGGGCCGAUUCCCCGAAGAAAGCUAUUCCUGCAGGCCAUGUCGGAAAGUCUGGAAAGACAAUCUGCAACAAUCAAGAAGAGAUAGGGGGAGAGAGGGUCGCCUUGCCGAAGACCCCUUCGUGUUUUCAGCCAGUUUGUAGGAGUGUCGUUCACAAGGAUGGCUAUUUUGGCGUUACAGACGCACUGUUCAAUCCAGGACCACCAUUUUUCACUAAACCCGAGCCAAAGCAUGAUUCCUUUCAGAAAGGGCCACCGAACGUUGUUGAAAGCCUUUUCAAAGUCUGCUUUGAGACUGACGCAUUCCUUCCUAGUUUUGGAGCACAAACUGAUUAGUUUGCAGGCGUUGACGAACGAGUCCGCAAGCAGUCGGUCUUUGAGGAAGGCCGAUUGGGAAGGAGAAAUAAUAGACGGUAGAACCAGGGCAAUCCUAUUCGCAAGAACUUUGGAAAUAAUUUUCUGGAUGCCGUUGAUGAGACUAAUUGGGCGAAAAUCCUUGGCCUGGCACGCGCUUUCUUUCUUGGGAAUGAGGCAGAUGAAGGAGUAGUCAAUCGGGGCUGUGGAAAGCGUGCCCCCUUGGAGAUCAAUGAAAAUCUUGUAAAUGUCGUCUUUAACGGUUUCCCAAAAAGUUUGGUAGAAGAUAAGUGGAAACCCAUUAGGUCCAGGAGCUUUAUCACUACCAAGUUGAAAAGUAGUAGCCUUAACUUCCUCCAUGUCGAAGGGGGCAGUUAGACACUCAGGUUGUAGUAGCGUGUUGGAUUGGAAGAGAGCGCUCCAAUCCCCGAAGGAGGAAGGUCCGUUCUCUGCCUGACCGAACAAUCGGUGGAAAUACUGAUAGAAAAAGUAUCUUUUGUGAUCCUCCGUGUUUAACAGUCUCCCAGUGUCAUCUUCUAUUACUUCAAUGGGGUUGGUGCGUUUCCUUCCGUUGGCCACAGCAUGGAAGUACUUGGUAUUAGCGUCCCCCUCCUUGAGCCAUAAUUGUUUGGACCUGGUUUUCCAGAGGACUUCCUCUUCUUCCAAAAUCUGUGUGAGGUUUGAUUUGAUACGUUCUCUCUUAUCGUGGAGAUCUAAGCUCAGAUCUUGGAGCUCUUCCAUCUGAUCAAUGGACUGAAGCUCAUCCAGAAGGGACUUCUUAGCUACGGUAAUAUUGUAAAAGUUCGAUUUGCACCAUUCCUUCAUACGAACUCUGCAGUGCCUCAGUUUAGCAGCAAUAGUGAGGAUCGCUGAUCCUUUAGGACUGACUUCGUUCCACCAUGUGGUACUUUGGAGAUAAAAUCCUCUUUCGUGAGCCAGACUUUCUCAAAACGAAAUCUACGCGUCGGAGGUGGGAGCCUAGAGUAGAGGAGGAUCGGAGUAUGAUCAGAGGUGAUUCUAGGGAAGGCUUUGGCCUUGCACAGUGGGUGAGAGAGGUCCCAUUCCGUGGAGACGAGGAACCUGUCUAGUUUUGCCAUGGUGGGUUGACGAUACAUGUUAGACCAAGUGAAGCUUUGAUUUGAAAGCGGAACAUCAAUGACCUUUAGGUUAUUGAUAAGAUCCGAGAACAUCUCCAUGGAUUUUCUACUCCAAGUACGUCCACUCCUUUCGGUUUGAUUUCUGGUGAAGUUAAAAUCCCCACAGAUGACCCAGCUGGUGCAGCAAAUAUCUUUGAGGGAAGCCAAUUCAGAACAGAAGGCGUCCUUACCCUCCCAGGUGGGGGGUCCGUAAACAUUAGUGAUGAAGAAGGUCGAGCCGCUCGCGUGAUGGGAGAGGCGUAUGGUAAGAGAGUACGAUCGAACAAUAACUUCUAGCCCAGCAAAGUAACUCGAGCACCAAUAGAUAAUAAGACCUCCUGAGGCCCCGACGACCGGCAAAAAGUGACAUUUAUCAAAACUAGAGCCACAACAUGAUCUAAGAAAAGACCGAGAUACAGAGUCGACUUUAGUUUCCUGGAGACAGACAACUGCACGGUAGUGCCUAGACACGAUAGAUUUAACUAGACAUCUUUUACGAGGAUCAUUGAGACCUCGAACGUUCCAACUAAGAAAGGAAGACAUCAAAAAGAGACGAUCCCCUUAGGAGCAACAUCAGAACAGUAAAAGGGAGAGAAACUAAGUUAAAUUAGACCCCGACGGACAGGAAGUUCUGAAGAUCCUUCGCUUCAGCAUCAGAUAUCGCUACUCCAAGCAGAAGACUCUUCUUCUUGAUUUUAGAGCGAGACAGAUUACGAGCGGAGCGGCCUGGUUCAGACGAGGAUCCUUCCAAUAGUUUAGCUUUCCUGUUCGUUGCUCGCUCGAGCACGUUGACAUCCGUCAGAUUCGAGAGUCUGGCGCUUACCUUAAGGGAGGUUAGGGCUCCGCCAGUCAGUUGGGAGGGGGAGGGCUCAGCAGAGUGGAGGGGGGGAGCAUGCUGGUAGGACAGAAGGAGCCCAAGGCCGGGCCACAGGAGGUAGGCAAGGUGGGAGGCAGCAAGUAGUCUCCGACCCCCGGGGAGGGAAGGCGCGUCAUGGGAGGGAGGGCGAGCCGGGGGGGCUUCGGGCUGGCAUGAGAGCUCAGGGGGUUCAAGCCCGGACUGAGGGAGCACCGAUCAGGGGAGCCCGAGGCCGGACUGUCCAGGGCGAGGCCCACGUUGGGUCCACAGAUGGGUUCCAGCAAGCGGAGGAGGCGGGCCGGGGGAAAAUCUGGCCGCGACCGGGGCCCCAGCCCAGGGGUACGGGCUGGCGAGAAGCCACAGUGCCAGCCGGGGGAGCCGCUCGACCUAGGCGGGGAGCACAGGCAGGCGCGGAGCUCGAUCGCGGGGAGCUGCGGACUGCCGCGGGAGGUGCUCGGCCAUGCGAGGAGGCUCGGCCGACAGUGAGGGAUCGCGUAGUCCAGGGUCAGAGGGAGCACUCAGGCAAGAUCAGGCCGAGCCGGCUCAUCCAAGGCCAGGCCUCAAGUUGGGCUCCACAGAUUGGUUCGAGCAGGCGUGGGAGCUCGGUAACCGGCGGGGGACUCGCGGCGGGGGAGCUUGGAACCUGGCGGGUAGGGCUCGGGCCGGCGGAGGAGGAGCUCGGCCGAGCGGGGAGCUUGGACCGGCGAGGGCUCGGGCCGUCGGAAGGUCCUAGAGUCCGAACAGAGGGAGCACAAGCAGAAAGGCAGAUGCGGCGGGGGACUUCGGACCGACGGGGGAGCACAGGCGCGGAUCGGUGAGAGCUCGGGCCGCGCUGGGUGGAUGCUCGAAACCGCUGGGGGAGCCGACACCGCAGGAGUGGCUCGUGGCGGCAAGUGUAAUAUACGAAAAAUUUCGGGUUGCGAUGCUAAUUUUAAUCUGGAAUAUUAAAGUGAAAUGUGAAUUGGAUGUGCAUCAUUCCAGAGUGUUUCUGGACGUGUGGGAAUGAUCUCUGGAGGUAAUUGGGUAUUCGGGCACAAAUCGGGCGCGAAAUGAACUUGAAAGGGAAUUUUCGGAUUAUGACGCUAACUUUAACCUACGCGAUCAAAGUGAGAUAUGAAUGUUAAUUAUAGUACCUCCGAAUUAUUUUGGAAGUGCGAGGAUAGUUAAUGACAAAUUCCGGAGAUGCUUGGAUGUUAAAAAAAUAAAAAAAAAGUCGGAUUUUGAUUACAUUGUUAAAUUUGGAACAAGUUGGUCGAAGUAAGGCCAAAAUAAAAUUAAUUUGCUUUCGAGCUUAAUUAGUAGCUUCGGCAUAGUGUUUAGUAUGAUUUGGAAGUGAUUAGAAAUAUUCGAGGCGAGGCAAGGUGGAAGAACGAAAUGGGUUGAUAAUGCUGCUGCUGCCAGAAAAUUCUGCAAGUGCAGAUUUUGCAUUGUGUACCUCAGUGAGGUACAGGUGUGUACCUCAGUGAGGUACAGGCCUUUAAAACCUGCAGCAGGGCUGAAAUGUACUUAUGUUGAAUUGAGGGGUUAAGUUGCAAUUUGUCAAGCUUAUCACCUAUUUCCAGCUGAGUGGCAUGUGUCCACGUAAUUGGACCCAACUCCUCUUCACUGGUUCUCAUCUUUAUCCCCUUCCUUAUCUCUUUACAAGCUUAGGGGAAUUGGUGGAGAGGGUGACAGCUUGGGUGUUUGAGGUUGUGACGAGUAGGGAAACCAGCAGAGGAGAAGUUAUAAUCAGAGGUAAGAGAUGGUUUCCAAUUAAUAAUCAAGUUAAAUGCACUAAGAGAGGUUCUCUAAGGUAAUUAAACUUGGUGUUAUGCUGUAGAUUAAUUGGAAGCUAUACAAGAGAAGGAAGUUGUUAAAGUGCUACCUUGGUAGAAAGGCUGCCAAGGAAGCUAAUGAAGCAGAAUUUAAGAUGUUGGAGCUGCCGAAUUGGAGCUGCCGCUGAGGAAGCUUUAGAACAAAAUUUUAAGUUGUUGGAAUUGAAAGUAACCAGAGGGAUUAUCAAAUUAAGGUAAAGUGUACUCGAUAAUUAAUUACAGUUCAUGUAAUUUCAUUAAAGAGGAGUUACAACAUUGAGGUUUGCUGCUGAAAUUGGCAGAUUUAGUGUGUAGGGCUUGUUGAAGCUGCCGAAGUGAGAAAUUCAACCUGGGAAGCUUUGAACCUGAGGUAAUUAAUGACUUCUCAGCGAGGGUCUAGUUUAAUUACUCCUUAAGAGAGAGUUCUAGAUAAAGUAAGCAUGUAAAGAAGCUUAAAGGAGCCUUUAAUUGGUUCAAGUGAAUAUAUGUAUGCAGGAAAUUUUCGAAUUGAGGGAAGCAAUGGUGCAGAAUUCCAGCAUGGUGCAGAUUUUGAGGUUGAGCUGAAAUUGUUGCCUUAUUAGAGCUUCUUUGGUGUCCAAACUAAAAGAGGACCAAGUGGAACUUCAAGCUCAGGUGAGAUUAAUGUAAGUUCCUGGGCUAAUGGGUGUUAAUUGUACUCUAUGCUGUAAUGACUACAAAGAGAGUAGUCAUGAGGCAGAUUUCAGCAUUGAAUUCUGUUUACUAUUGAAGCUGAUUUCUAAGUAAUUGAAGCUAAAAAAAAUGAAACUCUAGGAUGCUGGGAGCAACUUAGAAAGCUUCUAAUUCAGGUAAGAAUAGAAAUUAUCCCUGAUUUGAGUAGUGGAAUGUUAUAAAGAUAAUUUCUAAGUGAGUUGUGAAGCACAAUUUUUGAAAUUCAGCCUGAACUGAAUUUCAGCAUGAGAGGUAUUUGUUAUUGAGCUGAGAACUAUGUAAUUGGACAGCAAAUUAAGUCACUUAUAAUUAUGUUAUGAUUAGGAGUUAGAUUAGUUACUCUAGAAGAGUUCUAAGCAUAAGAACUAAUUGUUCUAUGCUUAUAAUAAAUGCUCGAAGAGGAGGUGAAAUGCUGAAAAUUCAGCAUGAAGCAAGAUUUCAGCAUAAUGCUGAAAAUUAACAUUGAGCUGAAACUUUAAGUAUUAUGGCUUCUAUGAGAUUUGCUUUAGUAAAUACUUAUGAGUAGUUGUUAAAAGGUGAAAUUGAACUAAGACCAUGAUAACUUUAUCUUAAAGUUGAUAAGAAGUUUGAGAGUGAGAUUAUACUGAUGUACAUGUGGAAAGUAUAUCUAUAUGUAUAUAAGUGCUUAGAAGUUGAAAUGCAAGUUUUGUUGAAAAUGAAUAUGACGUCGGUUUAAUCUCUCCUAUACUUAUUUGAAUGAAAGUUAAACUUGCUCGAAAGUCAAAAUUGAUAUUCCGACAGGUCGGCGACGCAUUAAUUACGGUAGAAGCCAAUUCGUCUCUAAUUGCAUCGAGUCGCGUGAUAUUGUUCUUGAUACACUUCAAGACGUGAGCUCUUAGUUGUUGACACCACUACAGGUGGGUGGUGCUAUCCGAAGUCUUUGAAUCACCUUUUAUGUCUAUGAUAAUUCAUUGAGCAUAUUUAUAUUUGUUGUCAUGCAUUAUAGGGUAUUGGCAUUGUGCAAGUGAAAGUAUGUAUUCCUAUCAAUAGUGAGAACAUGUGAACAUUAGAAUGUGAAUAUAGAACCCUAUGAAUGUAUGGACUAUAGCAAUAGUAAACUUGGUGACAUUCAACUAGAGAUUUGGUUAGCAUCGAGAAAUGGAAUUGUGAAACUAGCAUAAAGAACUAGUUAGAGUAAAGUGUAACAGUGUUUGUCAGUUGAAUCCUCUAAAAGGGGAUCAGAUCAUACUCACAUUUGUUUAGUUCAAGUGAGGUCGCUCCUCCUUGAACGAUGAGCUCCGGAGUAGUCAUCUUUACUGGACCAGGAGGUGCGUCUCCCCCAGUUGACGGUCCCAUCGGGUGCAGGUGCGUCUCCCCGAUAUUUGGGAUAGCGUCAGUGAGUAAUUGUUAACCAGAGGGUUAACCAAAAUGAAUUGGAUAAACUCAGUAAAAGCAUGCAUGCAUAUUUACAGUUUUUCUAUAUUGCUUUCUUUCAGCUUUGUACAGGUAUUGUAGUAGUUACAUAUUAUAGUUGGUUACUAUCUCAGUUUACUUUUCUUGCCUACAUAUGCCUGGAUAGACCUAGUGGGUGAGUCGGCGAGGUCGGCGGCCGAACCCACUGGGAACUUUUAGUAGUUCUCACACUACUAACCAUACAGGUUCCAGCGCGACGUUGUGGCUGAGGAUCGCGACAAGAGCCCAGCAGCCUAGCUAGUGGGCACCCGAGUUCUAGUGGUAUACCAUUUUGGUUUCAUAUUGUACAUAAUGAUGAACAAAGAGAUGUGUAAAUGAAAAUUUAAGUGAUGUAAAUAACUAAAUGUUCAGUUAUUUAGUUAUAUAUAGUUUAGUGUUAAAAGUUUUAAAUUACAGUGAAUUUUCAGUAUAGUUAGCCUACUAUCACUUGUGCUUGUUGCUUGCCCUCGUGCAAGCCAUGUAUAUUGAAAUGUUAUCCUGGGAAUUGUUUAUUUCUUUAUUCAUGUACUCGUUGUUGUUGAGCCUUGGGCGGAUAGAGGAGGUUCUGUCCGUUUGGCGUCUGUGUACGGGCUCGGAUCGACCAAAUUGGCGAUAGCGGGACGUGACAGGCAGGAAGGUCCGAGCUCGGACCGGCGGGAGGGCUUGGGCUGGCAGGAGGGCUCGGGCCGGCAGGAAGGUCCGAGUCCGAGCAAAGGGAGCACCAGGCAGAGAAAGCCGAGGCUGGGCUCUCCAAGGCUAGGCCCAAGUUGGGCCCACAGGUGGAGUCCAGCAAUUGGCUUCCCGGGCUCUCCAAGGCCAGGCCCAAGUUGGGCCCACCGGUGGAGUCCAGCAAUUGACUUCCCAAGGAGAAGAGGUGGGCCCGUCCGAUCGCUGGCUUUCCAAAAUCCGAGGUCCAAUUGAAUGACCCAGGGCCCAGUGCAGGGUAGACAAGUGGGCCAGAUAAAAGCGCAGCGAAGAGGAGGGUCCGCGUCAGUCCUGUCGGACAGAGGCCCAAAUAAAGUAGUUUGAAAUUUGAAACAGAGCAGCACAGUACUGGACCAAAGGGGGAGAGGCUCCAAGCAGAAUUAAUGCGCAGGGACUUUUCCCGAUAAACGAGGCUUCCACAAAAGCUGAUCCCGGCUUGACCAGAAGGGCUCGUCUUCCAACAACAGGCAAAAGGUGAGCGAGGCUGAGUAGGGUGAGACAAAAAGGAAGCAUGAUCAGCAGGCAGGCCAGUACUUUCUCUAACAGGCAGAUCAACUUGCACGAAGGAGGAAAGAUUUGGAGAAAGGCAAAUCUGGCCGUUGGGGUACGGGAUGCGGUCAGCCGAGGCGUCACCGAUCGGCGAUUCAGCCGAGGCAUCACUGACCGGAGAGUCCUCGGCCGCGGGCGCCUGCCCUGACCCCGUGGAGACUAGAGAGGCUUCGGCCACUGGCGCCGACCCCCACCCCAGGGAGACCGAAGAAGCCUCGGUCACCGGCACAAACCCUAGGGAGACCGAAGAAGCCUCAGUCACCGACACCGACCUCGAUCCCAGGGGGGCGAUGAGGCCCAGUGAAGGUGGUCGGCAGCGCCUCCUAUCUCGGAUUUCGGAGGAGUCAGAGGAGCCGUCCGAGUUAGGGUCGUCGUCGUCCAGGGGCCUCCGCGCUCGUACUUCACCAAAGUACCGACGCUCCACCUCUAAGGAUCUCACGUCAGGAUCGACAUGGUCCGUUCGCUCGUUGGGCGGGGGGGAGGAUCACCACGGCCAUUGUCGCUGUCUCGAGCCCAACGCUCAAGUUGGAUUAGGACCGACAUAGAGACGUCCCCGAAGGCGACCUCCAGAUUCUCGGGUAUGUCAUGGAGGUGGUUGACGGCUACGAGGCAGCGGUAGCCGGAGAGAUCUACCAUGCGAGUCGUGUGCUCGUCCGCCCUGAUGAAUCGGGCGAAGCCGCCGACAAGAGCCGCAACGGUACGGGAAGACCAACAUUUAUAGGGGAGAGAUACCAGUCUGAUCCAAGCUUUGUAAGGAGGAGAAAACGGCGGGCGCCACUAUAGGGAUUCCAGGCAUAGCAUCGUAAUCUAAUAUCCCCCAGGCUGAGGUUAAGCCUACGGACAAGGGAGUCGCUUGGAACCCAUUCUGGAAGAAACACCACGAACUCUCGUUCCCUGUAGCGAGCCACCAGAAAGUCCAUGGGGAAGCCUCCGAAACGGUUGGCUAGACCGUUGGCAAUAGUGUCUUGAGCAAAGUGGCCAAGAUUCGCAGGGAGGAUGACAUCCACAAGGAGUGCAUUGCGGCGCUUGUUCUGCCGAGCAAAGAAGUCUUCUGUCUCCGAAACAAAGACGUUCAGGUAAGCUGGGCGAGCGCGCAUGUAGCGGUAGACGUCCAUCGGGAGGCGAUCCAUGCAGCUCCGCGCCUUGUGACCCGUUUUGAGGCACAGGGCGCACCGCAAAGGCUCUCGGCAAGCGGCUGCUCUGUGGUUCCGUCCCACGCACCGGAAACACCGGUCCUUGAAAGAGUGAGAAUCAAACUUGGGGGGAGUGUUGCGAAAAGUGUUACGAAGAGGUGGUGGAGGGUGGCGCGAAGGGAGUGAAGCACGGGAGCGAUGCGCCGGAGCGAAGCGCAGAGGUGGCGGCGGAGGGUUGCGCGAGGGAGCGUUGCGCAGAGGUGAUGGAGAGUUGCGUGAAGAGGAGGGUGGGGCAGCGGAGAGGAGGGCCUCUUUGUAGGACGGGUUGCCAGGAGAAGUGAGGCGUCCGUUCCUUUUAUAAUGCACUUCGGUCCAAGGCUGAUCCGCAGGCACUCCUUUGCCGUCGGUGUCCUUUACAGCUGGAGCAGGAGCACUAGGGGCAGGAGCGCUAGGGGAGUCAUCCUUGCUGAAGAAGGUAACCUGAGCCAGGUCCAGUCCAGCUGAGUCCGCCCAGAUCACCUUCUUCGCUAAGGAACGAUCAUUAAUGCUGGAGCUUGAGGGGUGGGUGGUUGCCAUAACUCCAUUGCCCAGAUGAUGUUUAAGCUCCUGAAACCUCCGCUCCAAGUCAUUACUCAGUCCAGAUGAAAUGACAUUCACUGCUCCAGAUCGCUCGAUCGACCGAUGCCGAGGAUCCCCCAGCUGACUGGGACAGGGGGCCGCCGUCUUCCCGAUCACCGUCGUGCUUGUUGUCUUGGCCGUCGUGCCUGUUGUCUUGGCCGCCGUCUUCCCUGUCGCCGUGGUCGCCGUCUUCCUAGUCGUCUUGAUCGGCGUACAGGCGACCGCCUUCCCCUUCUCUCUCUCUCUCUCUCUCUCUGUAUUAGCUAAAAAAAUAUUAAACACAUGCAUGUAUUAUAAUGUAGUUAAAACUUAUAUGCAACAAGUCCAAAAUAGUAUAAUGAAAAGAUAAGUAUCAUUUUUUUUUUUUUUUUUGCUUUAACUUUUGAUGGUCAAGUAUUUUACUGGAUUCAAAUUCGGGUCAAGAUCUAGAUAUGAAAACUAGUCCGAACUUUACCCACCAAAAGAAUGGGUCCGGAUUGGAUCGAAAUUGGAUAGGGUAUAAGAUAUUCGGACCAAUAACCAAAACUUAAACGGAUACUUUUUUUACCCCACAUACUACCCACUUUUAACCAGUCCGAAUCGGAUCCGGAUAGGAUCUGGAUCGGCUCGAGAAUAUUGGAAAUUUUGGGCAUCUCUAAAGCUUAUAGACUAAAGUAAGCCAGUAAAAAUUUGCACCAAAAUGUCACCAUAAAAUACUCCCCCACUUCACUUUGUUGACUAGGGUGCUUAAUUAAUUUUCCAAGAUGACUUGACUCCAUCAGUGUGGAAAAGCUCGGAGCAAAUUUAAUAAAGAGACAAUUAUCUGUAUAUCCCUGCAAAAUUCUCACCAUGCAGUCCUUAAAAACAUCUGUUUCUUAAUUACAUCUUUUUAAAAUCUCUUUUUUUUUUUUAUAAAAUAAUUCAAAUUUGUGGAUCGGAUUGGGUCUGGUUAAUUAAUAUACUAAACCCGUACCCGAAAAAAAAAAUAUAAAAAAAAUAUACCCAUUCUUUUCAACUUUAGAGCGGGUCCGAAUCUAAAUACUUAAGUUCCUACUGCACUCAUUAAAUUUAUUUGACUGGAUUUAGAUAGUUACUAUCCUGUAUACAAUCCACUUCAAGAUCCGAUAAGGGCUGGAGCUAGAUCAAAUACAGAUAUCUGUAUGUGUGUCUAUGUCAUCAAGAACAACUAUACGUUACAUGAUAAGUGCAAAACAAAAAUUAAAAAUUAAAAAUAGUUACACAUAUAUUAAUUACCCUAAAACACAUACAAUUAACCACCACCUCAAAUUGAUACAACAACAUAAUAAUUAAAAAUGUAAUGAUAAACCCAAAGACAUAUAACAUAAUUAUGUAAAACACAUACAGCUUGUCAUAUAGCACACACUGUAAGUCCAAAGCACAUGCACUUUUUGUAAUGUAAUUAAAACUCAUAUGUAGUAAGUCUGAAACUGUCUAAUGAAAAGAUAAGUAUCAAUUUUUAAAAUUUUCAUAAGUUUUUCAAUUUCUUUUCCUUGCUUUAACUUUUGAUGUUUGGGUAUUUUAUAGGAGGCCCAGGUCUAGAUCAGGAUAAUGAUACGAAAACUAUAUUGGACCCCACCCACCAAAGGAAUGGAUCCGGAUUGGAUUCAAGUCGAGUAGAGUAUGAUAUAUUCAGACCAAUAACCAAAACUUAAAAGAGUAAUUUUUUAUCUUUAUAUUAUCUAUUUUUAAUCAGGUUCAAAUCAGACCUGAAAAAAAGUCAGGAUCGGAUUUAAAAUAUUGGGUAUUUUGGACACCUCUCCGUAACAUAUAUAAUUACUAAAUACUUAUAGGUCAAUACAAAGCUGUACCAAAAUGUCACCAUAAAAUACUCCCCACUUUGUUGACGUGGGUGUUUAAUUUCCAAGAUGACUUGUGAGUUCAAUAUGGAAAAAAGUGGAGAACUAAUUUAAUAAGGAGGCAAUUAUCUAUGUAUCCCUAUAAAAUUCUCGUCUUUUAUAUGUAGCCUCGACAAACAUCUGUUCUUAAAUUUAUCUUUCCAAAGUCUCAUAUUUGUUUGAAAAACUCAAAUUCGUGGAUUGGGUCGGAUCUCGAUAGUUAAUAUAUUGUAUUCAUGUCACGCCCCGAAUUACUCGUUUCUCCGGACUCGCUAACAGACCCGCCGUAUAUAUAGAUAUUUUUCUUGUAUACGAAGCGAAAAAGUAGAAGUACCUGUAAUCAUUCAAUACCACAAACAGUAAUAUAGAGCAGCUAGGAAAAUAAACCAAAUAUAUAAACUAUGGUUCAAUACAUACAUGUCAUCCAGGUAUAGAAACACUCGCUCUGGCGAGAUACAACAACUGUAUGUAAAGACCCAAAAACUACAACUACCUGUAGCUGGUACUCCUCUAGCUCUGCGACUCGUCUGGAAGGGCUCUAACUCGCAACGCCCUUGCCACGAUCAGUUUCGAUAGAAGCAGCAGCCGGGACAGAAGGCUCUGCAAAAAUAGGGUAACAAUUGGGCGUGAGAACUACUACAAACAGAAGUAGUUCUCAGUGGGUACCGCCCUCGAACUCAUCGCUCCACCCACUAAGUCUACAGGAGUAAGCAGGAAUAGUAAAGAAAGCUGGAAUAAAUUUACAGCUAAAUGGCACUACACUAUCAUGCUCCAACUCUACCCUCUGUAGAACAAUGUCAUCUCAGACCCAAUCUCAAUAAGGACUGUAAUCAUAUCUGUCCUUCGGACUGUGAACACAUCUAUCCCGCCCGGUUGCGACUAUCCAGCUACCUCCACACUAAUCAGUCCGUGGAGAGCAAGUCCAACCUGCACGAACGACACCAACGCAAAAGCACAAAGCCUGACUCCGGAGUGGCACUCAUGGGCGCUACCCAAUCGAGUAUGCAAGCAUAUCUCUGUCGAGCUCAAUCAGGCUCUCACAAGCUAACGUCAAGUAGACAGGGUCAAACAGGUCUAGAAACCAAACCCACGUGCCCUCGGAACAAUCUGAGACCAAAAACAGGAAUUUGGGUCCACCGUCCACCCCGACGGCACCCGACAACCCGAAACAGCCUAGAUUCUACUGUAAAAAUAAGCUCGGCAUCCCAGCACGAGCGUAAAUGUAUUCUAAACUACCCCGGGUAUCCACCGCGCUGAAACAGCAGUGAUACAAUCAAACCACGGCUCCUAGAGCUAAAUCAGGUAGUAGAAUCAUAUGACAAGUCGAAUCGCUGGUUUUCUCCUAAGUCAAGUUCCAAGUCCAACAUGUAUAUUCAACUAAUUACUAUUCAUGCUCCAAAUUCAGAUUUCAUACAUUAUACCAAUCGAUGAAUUUGAGCUACAACAUGAUAUUCCGAAUUCGAAACUAUACAUGUUUACUAUACAUAUACUUAGGAGCAAAAUCGAUGAUAAACCCACCUCUAGUGCAAUUUUCUGGCAGCAAAGAAGGGUUCCGAACCAAAGCUAAUCCCUGUUGGAUCAACCGAAAUCCUCUAAGACCAGAAAUCAAGUUAUCUCUAAACUCUACACACUGAAUUCCAUUAAUUAUCACUAUUUCAGCACUAAAGCUUAAUUUAAUCUCAAUUGUAAUGUCAAAACUCACCUAAUUACCUUCAAAUCAGGUGAGGAAGGUCUCAAAUCUAGUGAAUAAUAAUGGAGAAUGUGUCUCAGGUCCAAAAUCCCACUGCCUACAAAAAUAGUAUCAAGAAAAGCUCAAAAAUCUCAUUUUCAGUUCAAUGUUGCAAGCAGUCCAGAAAUACAUGUAAACGACUAAGCUAACCUCAACCAAAACCCACAAUUUAGGAUUUCGUGGAUUUCUCUAGAAGUCUAGAAUCCAGCAAACCAAGUUUCACCGCAAUCCGACCUUCCUACGUCGCACACGAGCCAAAACACCGAAGGUCGUUGCUGGAAAACUGCAGAAUCAGCACUCCACCACCUUCCAAUUGAAAGAUUGGAGCAAAUUGAGGAAAUCAGAGGGUUAGAAAUGCAAUUUGAGACUUCUCUGUGAAGAACAGGUGAAAAGAACUCACUGGAGUCAAACACCACCUAUUUAUAGGGUGUUAGAAUGGUCCCAUAAGCCUCAGGAACAACAGUUGCAAACCUGCAACUCAGCAGAAACGGGCACUUCCGGGCGCCCGGACCCACAUUAUGGGCGCCCGAAUCCUCCAGGCUACACAAGGCUUCCUCCUCGGAGUCUCCGCCCGCGGUGUGCUACGCCUAUAUCCGGCUCCGGCGGACCUCGCCUACUACCAGUCACGUGUCAGCGCAAACGAUACUCACGAUGUGAACUUUCGGACCCACAUCCGGGCGCCCAAAACAUGGACCCGAAUUGGCUUCCAGUUCUGCUCAGUUCUGCACUCAAUUUCUGAGCGACCCAAAGCCAGUUCUGAGCGCCCGAAUCCGGCAAAACUCCAGUUUUGCUUAUUUGAAUGCGCCGAAUCCAUUUUUGCAUCCAUUUCGCAUAGAAAUAACUCCGACUCAGUCCGACACUCUUCAGAUGUGUCGACCAGUCACUAACACUGAAGCCAAUCCUAUCCAAAUCUCAGAAAUACUACAAUUUGUAUCCUAAAAAAAUAUAUAUAAUAUAUAUAUCUAUACUAUAUACAAAAUCAUAUAUUUUGAAUUUUAGUAUGAGGCUCAUUUUUUAGUAAGAAAAGGAUUUUGGUUCACUUUUCUUUUCUUAUGCAAAUAAAUAACAUAAUCAAACAAAAUUUUUUAUUUCUUCUUUUUUCCUCUAUCGGAUAUUUUUUUCCUAUUUUUAUUUAAAUAUGCCGGUCUCAUUUCAUUCCUUUUCUUCUUAAGUGAAUAUUUUCAGAUUAUUUUAAUAUUAUCUAGAAAUAUUUAGUUGUUAUGUUAACUUUUUAUUGAUUCCAACUAACAAUCAAAUUUGAAAUUAAUUUUAAAUAUAUAUUUAAAUUUUAAUCAUAUAUAAUUUAAAUUUAAAUUUAUAAAAUUUUAAAAAUAAAAUUAAAAUUUAAGUUUAAAUUGUGAAUUAGAUUUUAUUUUGAAAAUCAAAUUUGAAUUAACAAUUAAAAAUUUUAAUUAAAUUGGAUCAAAAUUUAAAUUUAAAUUUUGAGUAAAAUGUGAGUUAAAAAUUUGAUAUUUUUAGUUUAAAACACAUCUUAAAGUUUGGGUUAGUUAGAAUUUGAAAAAUAUAAAAAAUAUUCAACGUAUAUAUAUACAAAAAUUAAAUUAUAUAGUUAUUACUGCAAGCAACUAUGUAAAUUUGAGUUAGGAUAAAAAUAUAGUGGUUAAAAGAAUUAAAUUAUUAUUAUAAUUUUUGGAUAAAUAUGAUGUAUUUGCACGUACACUCAACUAGCGUAUGCGUAUACAUUUGGGCGUAUGCUCAACUAGAAUGAUAUUAGUAACAAAUGAGCUUUAUUGUCACCCAUUUGUUUUCGAUGAUAGAGCAUCCAAAUCGACGAUUGGCACCGUUGAACAUGAUCUAUGUCACUUGAACAUCUAAAAACUAAAUUUUAUAUUUUUUCGAUAUUAUUCUCGUCUAUCAAGUAGACACAAAAAUAAACGACUGAAAAUGAAUAUGCUUUAAAAAGUGAUGAUAGGAGCAUUGUAAUUAAGAUCAAGAGUAUAGAUCUUAUUCUAAAUAAUUUUAAUUUCUUUCUGACCAAAAUUCAAUUGAUUUGAAUAUCUUUGCGCCAUUAAACGAGAAAAUAUUUGAUAUCAAAUAUUAAAAUUAUAAAUUUUGAAACUCUUUGAUCAUUAGGUCAAUGAUGUUGAAAAUAUUUGAAAUAUGAUUUUUAAAUCUUCAAAUGGUAUAAAUCAUGUUCAACGAUACCGAUCGUCAAUUUGGAGGUUCUAUCAUUGAAAAUAAAUUGAUGGCAAUGGAGCUCGAUUGCUACUUAGCAUUCCGGCUCAACUCUCUCUCUCUCUCUAUAUAUACGCCUAUCGACUCUAGAGUAGAGUCCAAAUCUAAGUACUUAAGUUACGAAUGCACCUAUUGAUUGAGCAAAUCUUGAUAGUGAUUAAAUGUAUACUACCCACUCAAAGAUAGGAUAUGAAUCAGAUACGGUCGGGUCUAGAUCGAGCGCGGAUAUCCGUAUAUGUAUUUAUGACAUAAAGCACAAAUAUUUAUUACAUGAUAACUACAAAACAAAAAUAUAUAAUUUACAAUAGUUACACAUAUUAGUUAUUGUAAAACACAUACAACCACCACCUUAAAAAACUAUGACAACAUAACAGUUAAAAUUAUAUUUGAUAAAUCCAAAAACAAAUAACAAAAUUAUGUAAAAUACAUACAACUAGUCAUACAACAUACAUCAUUAGUCCAAAAUACAUGCACUUAUUGCAAUGUAGUUGAAACUCGUACACAAUAAGCCCGAAAUAAUACAGUGAAAAAAUAAGUAUCAAGUUUUUUAAUUUUACGAACUUUUUAAUUUUUUUUUCUCUUUCUUUUAACUUUUGAUGAUUGGAUAUUUUAUCGAACAGGGUCCAAGCCAAGAUCCAGAUAUGAAAACCAUUACGGACCAUACCCACCAAAAGAACGGGCCCUAAUGGGGUCCAAGUUAGGUAAUCUAUACAUAUAAUAAAAGUCGAACCCUAAACCCGCCACGCGUCGCCUCCCCAGCGACCCCCCCGCCUCCUCAGCUCUGCCCGCUUCCUUCGCUGGCGACGAGCGGCGUCACGUGCCUCCCGUCCCGUGUCUCUCCGAGUCGUUCUCUCUCCGAGCCGGGCCCCAUCCCCUCUCCCUGUCGGAUGCUUGUCGGGCCCUAUGCUGACCUUCUCCUGCGGCCGACGUACGCCCGUUACAUCUCUGCGUCAGGUUUGGCCGGUGUGCGGCUGUGGUUGCGGUAUCUCUUCUCUUUGCUCCCCAUGUGCAUCCUAAUUCUCCUGUCUCUGCAACUCUUUCUUCUCUUUGCUCCCCAUGUGCAUCCUAAUUCUCCUGUCUCUGCAACUCUUUCCUCUAAUCCCUUCUUCCGUCUCCGGCGCCGCCGGAAGUGGGUGGGGUUCCUCUCUCAACCCGGGCCUCUGCCAGGAUUUGUAUAUAAGAUGUCCGAACCAACAACUGAAAUUUAAAUGGGUAAUUUUUUUCACCCAUCUACUAUCUACUUUUAAUCUAUUACGGAUAGCGUCCGAAUUAGGGAUGCAAACGGGGCGGAUCUGGGGGCGGGAGACUAGCAAAAAUCCGCCCCGCCUCCCGCCCCGAAUCCGUGACGGGUUAAAAAAUACAUCCCAUAAUCCGGCCCGCCUCGUAACCUGCCUCCCCCCGGCGCCCAGAAUCCGCCCCGCCAACUAAUAUUUUUUAUAAAAUUAUAAUAUUAUUAAUAUUUUGUAAAAUAUAAAUUAAUAAUUUUUAAUAAUAUUAUAUAUAUAAUUUAACAAUAUUAAUGGUAAAAAUUAAAAAUAUCAAUCACAAUUCAAAACAAAAUUCAAAUAUUUCAAAUACAUUAGAAAUGAGAGUAAUAACUUAUUUGUAUUUUAAACUUUUUUUAUAAAUAUAUUAUUUUUUGNGUGUUUGAAUCAUGUCCAAAAUAUCGAAUAUUUUAGACAUCUCUAGUUUAUAUAGUUACUAAAAGCUUAUAGACUAAGGUCAAUGUGGGUAUUUGGACCAACUUUUGAAAAGUAAUUUUGGACCUAAAAAUAAUUUUCGGCUUAAUAGAAUAUUUGUUUGUCUCGUUUUUUCAAAAUCGGAUUUUGAAUUUUUAAAAUCAAUUUUUUGAUUUUCGAGAUCCAAAAUAGAGCAGCUAAACUUAUUUCUUCAAAUCUGAUUCUGAUUUUGAAUUCAAAAUUCAAAAUUUUAUUUUAAUUUUAAAUACAAAUUUUAUAUUUAAAAUUUGAAAUUUUAGAAUUUAUAAUUAAAAUUUAAAAUUAUAAAUUUUAAUUUUCAAAUUACAAAUUUCAAAAUUUUAAAAUUCGUAAUUUAAAUUUUUAAAUAUUAAUUUUGCAUUUAAAUUUUAAAUAUUUAAUUUUAAAAUUUCUAAUUUAGAUUUUAAAUUGAAACUGAAAACUAAAACUUAGAUUUAAAAAUUCUAAUUUUAAAUUUUAAAUUUUCAAAUUUUAAAUUUAUAUUUUAAAUUAAAAUAUCAAAUUUUUAAAUUUUUGUGCACUUUUUAAAUUUAAAUUUUAAAUUUAAAUUAAUUUUAAAAUAAAAUUAGGUCUAAAAAAAUUUAUGGGCAACAUCAAAUUUUUUUUUAUCAAAUAGUUUACAAAAUCACUUCAGAAAAAUUAUUUUCAAUCUAAAUUCAGCAAUAACUCUUAUAAAUUGUUUUAAACCAAAUCAAUUCUCCAAAUUAAAUUAACUUCAUACAAUAUAAUUUUUUUUUAGAUCUGGGCCAAAUAGGCCUAAAUCAAGCAUUUAAUAACUAAGCAAAUUUGGCAACCCUCCCGGUUCUUCCACAAAAGCUCGAACAGCACCUCUCGACGAUACAAUGGAAAAUCCAUCCCCAAACCAACCCCAAAAAGUUACAAAUUACAACAACUCUCCCACCACAAAUCCCAAAAUCUUUGUUUUUAACUACUUUUUCUUUCUUUUUUUUUUUUUGUUUUCCGUUGUUUUAAUGCCGUUUAUUUCGGUGUAUUGUACAGGGUUGCUCUGGUGACGGGGCACACAAGGGGAUCGGCUUAGAGAUUUGUCGCGCGUUAUUAUCGUCCCCCGCGGGGUGACGGUCGUUCUAACGGCCAGAGACGAGGGGAAGGGCGUGGCGGCGUUCAGAAGCUUCGAGUUUCGGGAGCGACGACGGCGUGUUCUUCCACAACUGGAUGUCGCCGACUCUUCCAGCGUUGCAUGUUUGGCCGAUUUCGUGCACGCCAAUUCGGAAAAACUCGUAUUUUGGUGAGAACUUUUGUUUAUAUAUAUAAUAUUAUAAAUAUAUAUUAAUAUAUUGUAGCGAAUAAUUUUAUUUUAUUUUAUUUUAUUUUAUUUUAUUUUUUAGCUCAAGGCAAAUUUUCUUACUUUUCUGUUUCUUCACCUCGGUGUAAUUGAUAUUACUAUAUUAGUAUAUAAUUCUUUGUAUGACAUACUGACCUCAAUUUAUAUCUAGUUAGUGCUUUACUGCUACAAUGAAGUUUUACAACUGUGUGAUGUUUAAACAUGAUUAUUCUUAAAGCCUUUGGUUCUAUAUUGGCUCUUGCUUCUACAUAUGAUGUUAUUACAUUUGGUCCCUUCAAAAAAAAAAAAAAAAAACACAAGAAGAAAGGUUGUUACAUUUGGUAUACUUUUAGUGUGUUAUAUGAUUUUGACUUGAUCCCUCUGUUUGCAGGUAAACAAUGCCGGAGUUCUCGGAAGGGCAUCGGAGACUCAAGGAGUAAGUUCAUCAAUUCGUGUUGUAUAAAUACUCCAAAACAACGUUAAACAUUGCCGAUGACUUAAUCAGCUACGUUAGUGGUACAAUUAUUUGUAACAUGUGAUUUCUUGUUCUCUGCUACUAAUUUUAGUUUCUCUCAUGAGCCAGUUGGCUGGAGAGUCGACCAAUUCCUUACCAGCUGGAGAGACUUAUGAAAAGGCAGAAGAAUGUUUGGAAACAAACUACUACGGAACUAAGAGGGUAACAGAAGCACUAAUCCCUCUUCUUUUGAAAUCCCAGUCACCACGGAUCGUGAAUAUUUCCUCUUAUUAUGGCAAACUACAGGUGUGAGUUGACAUAAAAGUGUUUUCCUACUUGUACUUAUCCUUAAUCUCGCUCUACUAUUCUGACAUAUAGAUAUCUUUCAAAAUCCAUUUCAGCGAAUCCCCAAUGAGGGCAUUCGGAAAGAAAUUGGCGACAUCGAUAGCUUGACCGAAGAGAAAAUCGAUGAGAUGGUGCGAUCCUUUCUGAAUGAUUUCAAGGAAGGGAAAUUGAGAACAAAUAACUGGCCGGCUAGGUUGUCGGCUUACACUGUGUCUAAAGUGGCGAUGAGUGCAUAUACAAGAAUUAUUGCGAAGAAGUAUCCCACCAUUUGUAUAAACUGCGUUCAGCCAGGCUACGUGAAGACGGACUUGAAUGCGAAUUCGGGUAUAUUGUCGGUUGAAGAAGGCGCGGAGGGACCUGUAAUGUUGGCUUUGCUUCCUGACGGUAGCCCUUCAGGGCUAUUUUAUGAUCAGACCAAAGAAUCAUCCUUUGUAGCGUAAUGCCGUAAUCAUUUCCAAUCAAACAUGAGAUUAUGAGGUUCCGUUCUCUAAACUUCUUUGGGUCUUUGUUGAUCUUUGUAUCUUAUUUAUACUUUAUAAAUAAAUUUACACCUGUUUAAUGCAAUUGAUAUGAUCAAAAGUUGAUAUUGCAUAUCUCAUCUCAGUACAAUAUGUUAUUUCAUAUGGUUUCUCUCGACUUUUUCUACUGUAAGAUGAAUUAAUUUUCCUUGUCAUUAAGGUAUGGAAAAGUAUGUACAGAGAACCCUAAACUUAAGCUCUUUUGCAAACCAGCGCCUGAACUUCUAAUUUUGGCCAUUAAUGUCCUUAACUUUUAUCAAAUAAUUCAACGGGUCUCUUUUCUCGAUCUUAUACUUUCAUUUCAAGCUGAGUAAUAUCACAUAUGUCACAUUUCCGCAACUUCUAGUUAUUGCAAAAGCUCAAACACUGAAUAUUUUUGUUCCAUAUAUCCACUUAGCUAUAUGGAUGAUGACUUGGUUUUGAAUAAAUUUUCUUUCAAUGCUUUAUUAUACCCUACCCAUCUCUCUCAGAAAAAAAAAAAAUGAAGAAAUUUUAGAAGGUAGCUGGAGACCAAAAAAACUAUAUGAAGAGUAGCUUUAGGUUCGAGUUUUGACAGAAGUCACUUUCUUCGCUCUUGCUGUGGUUCAAGUUUUGACAGAAGUCACUUUACUCCUGCUGUCGGUGCCUCGGGUGGUAUUAUCACAUGUUGGAACUCCAAAAUUUUCGUCUGUAUGGAGGUGUUGGUGCGCGAUCACUCGCUAACCAUCAACUUGAAACAUGUCACAAGCGGAACGAGCUUCUACCUGUCAAACGUAUAUGGACCGCCAACAUGGGAUGGGAAAGAAGAGUUUUGUUCUGAACUCCUAGCUCUUCGUGGGGUUUGUUCCAACAGUAAAUGGGUGAUUUGCGGGGAUUUUAACUUUACUAGAAACCAGACAGAACGCACGGGAAAACGGUGGAGCACAAAAGCGAUGUUCAUGUUCUCUGAUCUUAUUUCUAAUCUCGAAGUCAUUGACAUCCCUAUUUCCAACCAAAAUUUUACUUGGUCUAAUAUGCAAAGCUCGCCAACCCUGGCCAAGCUGGACAGAUUUCUCGUCUCGACGGAGUGGGAUCAAGCGUUCCCGCACUGUAGGGUUUCUGCGUUAUCAAGAAUCACGUCCGAUCACACCCCGCUAAUCCUUGCUACUGGGAGUAAUCCCACUCCGCGGCGAUUUCGGUUUGAGAGAGUAUGGCUUACCAGGGAGGACUUCUUACAUAAUGUACCCAUUUGGUGGAAUGAAAUAUCUAGCGAGAGGUCUGCAAUACUCACUUUAACAGCAAAAGUAAGGCACUGCAGGAAUAGAAUAAAAGAAUGGUGUAAGACGAAAUUUCACAGUAUUACCAACGCAAUUAGGUGUUUAAAGGAGGAUAUUAGAAGCAUCGACCUUUUAGAGGAACGAAAUACGUUGACACAAGAUGCGCGGGAUAAACGGGUAGAUCUUAAAGCACAACUCCAACUUAUCUUGCAGGAGGAAGAAAUCCUCUGGAAAACGAGAGCAAAACAGCAUUGGCUUAAGGAAGGGAAUAGUAACACAAAGUUCUUUCAUGCUGUUGCCAACGGUCGGAAGCGCACCAAUGAGAUAUUGUAUAUUGAAGGUGAGUCAGGAAGUUAAAUUAGAAAUGAAGCUCAAAAGAAAUCCGUUUUCUUUCACUCCUUCAAACGUCGGUUUGGGAACGUAGAAGAGGAGCCGUCUUCUUUUGGCGAUUGGGCCGACUUGUACCGAGCGAACGCCUUACCGGACUCGGACUUGCUCUCGGCACCAUUUAAUUUGGAUGAAGUCAAAAAAGCGACCUUCCAACUGGGUAGUGAUAAGGCACCUGGUCCCGACGGAUUUCCGCUUAUCUUUUUCCAACAGUUCUGGGAGACAGUUAAGGAAAACAUAUUUGAUAUUUUCAAAGAUCUUCAGGAGUCCGACCUCUGCACAGCGCCAGUGGAUUACUCUUACGUAUGUUUAAUUCCCAAAAAGGAAGGAGCUUGCCGGGUCGACGAUUUUCGACCGAUUUCCCUUUUAAACGGUAUUCAAAAGAUUAUUUCGAAGGUGCUCGCAAACAGACUAGCGGAAGUGUUACCAUCUAUUAUCUCUACAUCUCAAUCGGCCUUUCUGAAAGAUCGACUACUAGCUGACUCUUUUGUCACUGCAACUGAACUAAUCAACUGGUGCGCAAGAACUAAUAAGGAGUGCGUUAGUAUAAAGGUGGAUUUUGAGAAAGCCUACGAUAAAGUUAGUUGGAGGUUCUUGCUAAGUAUACUACGGUGGCUUGGGUUCAGCGACAAAUGGAGGUACUGGAUUGAACAAUGUAUCUGCAAUGCCAAAAUUGCCAUUUUAGUGAACGGUUCGCCGACAAAGUGGAUGAAAACAAGAAGGGGGUUGAGACAGGGGGACCCGCUGUCCCUCUAUCUAUUCCUACUUGUGGCCGACUGUUUGGCGAGGAUCACGGCAGUAGCAAGGGCUAAUAACUUGCUUCAAGGAAUUGGACCAACUGCCGAGUGUCAAACAGUGAUUCUGCAAUAUGUGGAUGACACUCUAUUCUUCUCGGAGCCCAAGAAGUCCGCCAUGCGUAACUUACGGUUCAUUUGGAAGUUGUUUGAAUGGGCCUCUGGGCUCAAGAUCAAUAUGAACAAGACUGAACUUUUUCACGUGGGAACCACAGCAAACAAAGCUAAAAGACUCGCAGAUAUUUUGGGGUGUAGAGUAGGCAAACUACCUUUUCGCUACUUGGGGUUGCCACUUAAUACAAAAUCCCUUCGAAAGGAUGAUUGGACUCCGAUCCUUAACCGCAUCGAGACGCACAUUGAUGGAUGGAAGGCAAAACUCCUCUCUCACGGGAGGAGACUCAUCCUGGUCAAUUCGGUACUUUCAAAUCUUCCGUUAUUCUACUUUGCAAUAUUCAAGGUGCCGCAGUGGGUACUGAAUCGCAUUGAAGCUCUCAGAAGAGCCUUCUUUUGGAAAGGGUGCUCGAAAAUUUCAGGGGGGGCUUGCCUCGUCGGAUGGAAAACGAUAUGUAAAAGCAGAAAAGAAGGAGGUCUGGGGAUUAAGGAUAUGCAAGCUAUGAAUAAAGCUCUUUUAGCCAAAUGGUGGUGGCGUUUCUUCAAUGAGAGGCAUCUGUUAUGGGGGAGGUUAAUCACCGCUUUAUAUUAUACUAGAAGGAGGCCGUUACAUGAGGGAAAAUCCUUCAGACCUUACUCCCAGUGGUGGAGAAAUGUGAUGAGCUGUCAAGGAAUGUUCAAAUGUGGUCUUACUUACGCACUUGGUGACGGAAAAAUCAUUAGGUGGUGGUCGGACAUUUGGAUCGAUGAAAUCCCUCUUAGUAUCAGAUUUCCUGGAAUUUCUGCAGAGCUGCAAAUCAGGAAGCCACGGUCUCACAAUGCUGGAAUGAAAGAGGAUGGAGAUGGCGUUUCAUAACUAGAGGUUUGGCGGCAAGUUCCACUUCCCUUAUCCGUCAUCAGACUACGCUGCUCAAAACCCUACUAGCUCAGUAUAGCCCUUCGAACAUACACGACAAACCAAAGUGGAGAUGGACCAAGAACCAAAUUUUUACAGUUAAGUCCCUUUACGAUUUUAUCACCGACGGAGGACAGAUUAAUCCUUUGUACGAUAAUCUUUGGGGGCUUAGAAUCCCGCUCAAGCACAAAGUUUUCGUUUGGAUCCUCCUUCGAAAAAGAUUACCCACAGCGGACAGAUUGAUACGCCGAGGAUGCCCUGUAGACCAGCUUUGCAAGUUCUGUGCGUUCUUUUCCAAAACCUGCGAUCACCUUUUCCAGGAUUGUAUCUUUGUCAGAUAUCUUCUAAUUACAGUAGGUGCUGUUAUGCCAGCUGAUUCGGACGCGGGGAAUGUUCGGGGGCUUUGGACACAGAUCUCCGAGAAUCCAGAUGCCGAAGUUAGAUCGAAAUGUUUAACCCAUUUGGCGGCAAUCUGGUGGGUCGUCUGGACGGAGAGAAAUGGUAUUUGUUUCCGCGAUGUGACUCAUAACGCUUUCUGGGCUUCCGAACGCGUCGCUUCGUUGAUCAGAGCUUGGAACGAAGCACUCUGAACCAUCCCGGGUUUUUUCAUCCGCUGCUCUAAGCACAUUUGUUGUCCCGUUUUGUUGGUUUUUCUAUGUUUUAUUUGUGUUCCUUUUUUGUUUUCUUUCAGUUUUUCCUCUGUCGCCGAUUCGAUCUGGAGGCCCUAGCUGCUUCCAUCAUGUAUGCUAAAUUCAUUUUGCUUAAUGAAUGAAGCAGGUAGCUUGCUAUCUAUUUCUCAAAAAAAAAAAAGAAAAAAAAAAGAGUAGCUUUACAAAUGACAAAUUUUUGGCAGCAUAUAGAAAAGAGAAUUCUGCUUUUUUAUUUUUAUCGAAGUUGAUUAACUUACAGAUCAGUGCAUUUUAGCCAUCAAUUGUGUUUAUUUUUGACAUCGUUUUCUUAAGCCUUGCGAAGUAUACUCUAAAGGUUACAUAGAGACUAUCAUACAAGCUAUCUACAUAUUGGAACCACCAAAUCCUAAAUCCUUUAUUUACCAAUAGAACUCCAGUAAUAGUCCAAAACCCAACGGCAAAUCCUGCUAUUGUAAUAAGGCAAAGGAGUAAGAUCUCUUUUCGAUUUUUGUCUUCAUUUUCUGAAACAUUAGUUGGAGUUUGACUUGACUGGCCAAUUGUCGGGCCUUCAGCUUCGCCUUCAUUGCCUGUGCAACUCACAUUUAUUUGGAAUCCGCAAAGAUAUUGGUUUCCGACGUAUAUUUUAGGGUCCACGAAUGUGUCCAUUUGCUUCCCGGUCGGAAUUAUUCCUGAGAAGUUGUUGUAAGAUAAGUCCAAGAAGUCCAAGAAGCUUAAGUUGGACAAGCUAGAAGGAAUUGCUCCUGAUAACUUGUUUCUCGACAAGUUAAGAUAUUCUAGCUGCAUCAUAUCACCGAUCUUGGAUGGUACUUGUCCCGUUAGAUCAUUACUCGACAAGUCGAAUAUCAACAAUCCGAGAAGAUUUGUUAGUUCAUCGGGUAUGCGUCCUGACAAGCUAUUCCUAGAGAGAUCCAAGAUCGUCAUCUGCGAAAGAAGAUUGCUACCAUAUUGAUCUUCUCUUCCUUUGAUGUCCAAUAUCAUAUUCUCCUCAUAGUUACCUAAUGAGAUGUUUAGCAUGUUGAAUUCAAGACGGGUCCUCAUGGAAAUGAAAUUGCCGAAGCUCAUUGGUAUUGACCCUGAAAGAUUGUUAUCUGAGAGGUCUAAGAUUUGGAGACCAGUAAGAUUAGAGAGUUCUGUUGGAAUUUCGCCGACAAACUUGUUUGAUUUCAAGCUAAGAAUCUUGAGAGAUGAGAGCUCUCCAAGCCAGGUCGGUAUCCUUCCUGUAAACAUGUUACCACCAAGAUCAAGAAUAUCUAGACUCUUACAGGUCUUUAAGGAUGAGGGAAGAUCUCCAGAUAACCUAUUAUUCCUUAGCUGCAAGUAUUGAAGCUGAGGCAAAUCGCAAAGCCAUUUAGGUAUUCCUCCGGAAAAAUAGUUGUUCGAAAGCUCCAAAACUAGUAAGGGAGUGGUGUAAUUCUCGCAGUUUGGGAGCUCUCCUGAUAAACGAUUGUUUGAAACUAAUACAGUGAUAAAUUGUGUAUUACAAAUGGACAAGGGGAUACUGCCACUUAUUUUGUUCAUAGACAAAGAAAGUUUGCCAAACAUAGGCAUUAGCUGGAAAAUAUCGUAAGGAAUAGGACCUGAGAAUGAAUUGUUUGACAAAUCCAGUAGUCCCGUGUUAGAUGGAAAAUUUGGCACUGGUCCCUCAAAGUGGUUGGAACUUAAAUCAAUUGUCAAAUCUGAAAUAUCACCGAAUUUUAUUAAGUUGGGUAUCACACCACGCAAGUCAUUGUUAGAGAGUGAAAGAGUGGAAAGUUGUAUCAUUGUGUUCCAAAACCAAUCUGGCACCAAAUCUGAAAUCCCUGUAGAAGAUAGAUUUAGCAAGUUCAGAUAUUUCUGCGUCUGGAGCCAUGAGGGGAAUUUGGGGCCUAAUUUACAGCCAGUCAUCCGUAAAUUAGUGAGUUGGAAAGGAGGAACCCAGUUGUAGCUCACAUUCACAUCCAAAGAGUUAAAACUCAAGUCCAUGUUAUCUAACCUUGUAAGAUUAUAAAAAUGAUGUUCUGAAAGAACUCCAACAAGAGAGUUGGAGCUAAGAUCCAAAGAUGUGAGCUCAUUAAGGUUGCCGAGACUUUCGGAAACAGUGCCAUUUAACUUAUUGUGAUUAAAAGAUAACUCCCGUAUUUUGGGUAGUUUACCAAGAGAGGCAGGGAUCGAACCAGAAAGCGAGUUUUCUGAAAGAUCAAGAAUACUUAGAUUGUUUAGGUUACCUAUCCAAUCCGGUAUGUUGCCGCUUAGAGAAGUGAAACUUAAAUCCAACUCUUGCAAACUAUUUUGGAGACACCCGGAAAACGACUCAACGAAUGUGUCUAAUUGAGAGUUAAUUGCGGAAUUUGUUAAAUCUAGCAUAUGAAGCUCACAGAGAUUGCUCAAACUAGAUGGUAUCCCGGCAUCAAGGUCGACAGACUCUAGUUCGAGAACCUUCAGCGAAGUCAAGUUUCCAAUUCCAGAUGGAAUGAGCUCAGUAAAUUUACUGAAACUGAGAUAAAGAUAUUGAAGGGAAGUAAUUCUAAACAACCAGUCGGGUAAGCUAGAAGUUACUUCGCUGUUAUUAGCAUGAUCAGAAAAUGAUGUGAAAGUAAGAUCCAAAAGGGAAAGAGAGGUAAAAUUGACAUGCGGGAGGGAUUGUGGAAAGUUAUCGAAUUUGCAGUACUGCAAACGAAUAUCUUGUACUAAGGGAAGCAUGUUCAACGCUUGUAGCCAAUUGGAUGCAUUCUCAAUAAAGAGAGUGCCCAUGUCAAUAUGAAGUAGAAAGGUGAGUUGCGAAAGCCAAUUAGCAUUACUCAAUGUAAGAUUAUUACCGGAAAGAUCGAGGGUUUGAAGUCUUGAUAGAUUUCCGAGCUGAGUGGGUACCAUCCCGCAAAAAUACGAAAAUGAGAGGCUGAGAUAGUUUAACUUUUGGAAAGAACCGAUCCACUGCGGAAUCGGUAUGCACGCAAAGUAAUUGCUGCUGAGAUCCAAAUAGCUCAGUUGCUUAAGACGGAGCAAAGAAGGAUUGAUUUUGUUGCCGACAAUCCCCCUCCCUUGAAGAUCUAUAUGCACGACAUGUCCGGUUCGGUUGUCGCACUCCACGCCUUCCCAUUUGCAGCAAUCAUUUCCCUCCCAAGAAGAGAAGAUAGCUGCAGUUUGGUUGAAAUCUCUGGCAAACUGCAGAAGUGCUUCUCUCUCGGCAUCUGGGCAAUUACUAUUAGAAGAUCUAAAUGCCACAGCGUAUGCAAACGAGAGGAACAGCAGCAAAGCUCUUACUAUUGCUUUGUAAUCCAUUCUCAGAUUUUUGUUAUUUAUAUGUAUGUUUUUUUCUUUUGUGCUGGCUUGUGUACCAAUUUAUGUAUGUAAAUACCUAGCUGGUUAGAAAGCUAGUAGGCUAAGAUGAGGUUAUUAAUUUCCAAAACGACUUUUCUUCUCACAAAUAGCUUUCGAGAUGACUUGACUUCAGUUGACUGGGAGUCUACAUUUGAAUUUAGAGAACUGCAAUUUAAGAGAAAUUUGAAAUAGUCAAGAUCUUGCUUUCGCAUUAAUUUCAUGAUUCAAUAAUAAAGUCAAGAUCCAUCACUCCUAUUCAUUUCAUGAAUCAAAUAUUAUUAAAAUAUUAUAGAGAUCUAGUAAUCCCUUACGUUAUCAAGAUAGUGACGAAUCCACAUAGUAUUUAAAACUGCGUGUAUUUUAAUUAGCUAAUAAAAUUUUAUAUGCCGACAAGACAACAACAUCAAUAAUUAUAUAUAAAAACAACAUUAUAUAUAAAAAAAUUGUGGUAGAAAUUAAUAUUAUUUGCAAUAUCUCGCAAACAUUUUCUUAAACUUUUAAACUUUGUCAACUAACCUUUAGAGCUUUUUUCUGAACUUUCAAAAUUUUUUUUUCUCGAUUAAACAGGGAUAUACUCUAUAUAUUUACAGGAAAGACCUCAGAGAAGGUCUAGGAAGCCAGGAGGGGUGCAAAAGAAAACAAAAGCGGACGAACGAUGGCUAAAAGAAGAAGUGAGCAAAACAAGAAGUGAACAAAAUCAAGAGAGGAGCCCUGGUCAACUCAGGAGCAGCGAUUUCCAUAGUUCCACCGAGUUCACGGCAUAUCUCCUGAGGUUGUCACUUUGGCAACAACGAUUGUCGAAAAUCCUUCUAUUCCUCUCAUUCCACACUUCCCAACAUGCUGCUGCGAAAUAGAAAUCAAUUUUAGUUUUGGCUGAUCCCGCUGCCUCGCGUCUUAUUAGUCUCCACCUUUGAGUUAAGUUUCCGGAUAGAGAGCUCGUGAAGUGCGUUGUUGUAAUACUAUUGUGUGGCAGCCCACUCCACAAGUGUCUUGCAUACGUACAUUGGAAUAAAAUAUGAUUCAAAGAUUCGCUGUUUAAGUUGCAAAGCACACAUAUCGAAGGCCCGUUCCAACCCUUUCUCUGUAGAACCUCGGCAGUGAGAACUUUGUUUCUCGCUGCUAACCAAAGGAAGAUCUUGAUUCUGAGCGGGAUCUUGGUAUUCCAAAUGAACGAUAAAUUAGAAUCUUUAAUUCUGUCGUACGUUAGGAAGUUGUAGGCACUCCGAACCGAAAAUUGUCCAGAGUUAGUCCACCUCCAUGUGGGCGUGUCCUCGCUGUGGUCCGAUUGCGUCCAGGUUUGUCACAAAUCCGAAAGCUUUAAUAGUUCCUCUUGCAUCCUGGGGCAAAGAGGUGACCUAAAGCCAAGGUUGGUGAGUGUUGCGAAGCGCCUCAUCCAGUUUGAUACUGAAAUCUGUUUAGAGCUCGAAGCGGCAUAAAGGUGAGUAAGGCAAUUUUUGAGAAGGAAGUCACCGCACCAUCUGGAAUUCAAGAAAGACACCACUUUGCCAUUGCCCAGGGCGAAAGAGGCCGAAGUGUGAAAAGGCGCAGCCAGAUUGAGAAUACCCCGCCAGAUUGGGCAGCUAUUAGCCGGUUUAGAGUUCGUAUUCGAUGGUAAUCUAUGUUUGUAAUGCUUCUGCAUCAGCAGCCUGACCCAGGGUGUUGAUUGGGAAGUAGAAUUUCCAAAGUGCUUUCUGAACUUUCAAUUUUAGUAACUAGGUCUCUUAAACUUAAUCAAAUAAUUUAAUUGGUUUUUCCUCAGAAUCACUGUCGACGCUAGAGCUGAGACUAUGCCAAGGCGCCGAUCUCCAGGUGGACCAGAGGAGGCGCCACCGCUGCGUACCCGACAGGGGCGGGCGGAGCUUGGGAAUGGAGGAGCUGUCACUGCGCCGCGCCGUCGACCGUCCGGCAGACGUGAGGAACCGCCCACGAUGCGCUCUCUGCGUAGUGGGCGCUGCACUCUUAGGAUGCCUGGGCGUGUGGGGACGGGCGAUCACCGCCGGUCGCCUGCGAACAGGCAGAGCACGUCGCCUGAUGCUGCUUUUUGGCCGCAGCGCCACCCUCAGCGUUCCCUGCAAUGUUCCCCGACUGCUCGGCGGCCGCCGGUGAGGGCACUAGGGUGGGUGAAGGCUGGCCGGACCGCGGGUCUCGCUUCGGGGCUGGUGAGAGCGUUGACCGAGGAGGGCCGUGUAGGGCGCGUCAUCCAAGGGCGCCGCCUGGGAGAGGGAGUGCGAAAUCCGGCGCUGUCACACUUUUGGGAUUCGAAGGGAUGGUUGUAGAUCACAGUACUCAGAGUCUUUCCCCAACCAUGCCAAUUUUUUUAAUGGCAGGGGCAGGUUGGGAUGGCAGUGUGUUGGGUAGGCCUUUAAUGCUCUGUAGGGGAGAUCGAGUGUAUCUGUGGGUUGGGGGAUCUUUUUCUAAAGUGGUGGUUAGCCUUUUCGGUCUGCGUGCCAACCUUGAGGAAUGGGUCUAUGAUGCUGGGGUCAACCAUGGUGCUUUGCCCGAUGGAAUGCAGGGAGGAGGCCACGACUCGAGUUGUGCGGUUGUGGACUUAAAUGCUCCGAGUCGCACCGAAUUGUUGACUGUGGACGAGGAUGAAGUUGAACGGGUCAAGGAAAUGAAGCUCAUUGGCUCGGUUCGGACACGGGCCCAAAUUGGGAAGGUGUUAACCUCGUCGUCAAAGAAUACUAAAACCACCCCUACUCGAUCCAGUGUGCGGCUCGCCUGCACUGAUAGAGUCCCAAUCCUUUGUAAAGCUCUAUCCAGAAAGAAGAGGCUCCUAGAAGGAGGAGGUGCCGAGGUCUCCGAGAGCACGGUGAGGAAGAUCGUGCAUAAGAGCGGCCGGUGCGGGGUGAGCUUGGACGGAACUGAGGCGAAGAAUUUCGCCGAGUUUGCGAGCUUUUGAGCUCAUGGAGGGGCGAGUGGACUACAUGGUGGACACCUUUUGGCUUUUUUUUGGGGAGUCGUGUCUACAUUAUGGUUAUGCUUAGUAUUUGUAGCUGGAAUGUUAGAGGGCUUAAUGAUCCCUCCAAACGGUUUAUGGUGCGUGAUGUUAUUUCGAAUUUACGUAACUCUGUAGUGUGCCUUCAGGAAUCUAAGGUUGACCGUGUAUCGAGGUCUUUUCUUCGUAGCUUAGCAGGAUCCUUCCUCGACAAAAGCGUUUUUCUUGAAUCUAACGGUGCAUCUGGUGGUCUGAUUACUUGUUGGAGUUCCCGAGUAUUUAAUUGCAAAGAAGUAAUUGUCAGAAAUUAUUCCAUCUCGGUUCUAUUGGAAAUGGUUAACUGCGGAACACGUUUUUUUGUCACAAAUGUCUACGGCCCAGCUUCUUGGGAUGGUAAGGAGGACUUCUUUUCGGAACUAUUGCUUUUGAAGGACUGCUGCAAGGGCAAAUGGGUGAUGUGCGGAGACUUUAACUGUACGCGAGGAGCGCAUGAGCGUAACGGAAAGAUCUGGAGCUCAAGAGCGACGGCCCUAUUUAACAAUCUCAUCUCGGACCUUGAACUAAUUGAUCUCCCAAUGACUAAUCAAUCCUUCACUUGGUCUAAUCUCCAGAAGCCCCCCACCUUGGCCAGACUGGACCGGUUUCUUGUUUCAACAGAGUGGGAUCAGAGUUUCCCUACUUCCAAGGUGACCGGGCUACCCAGAGUGGUCUCGGAUCACAGUCCCAUCCUUUUAUCGGUUUCCAACCCUUCGAAGAGGUCAAGAACGAUUUUCCGUUUCGAACCUACCUGGCUUAACCACGAGGACUUUAGGUCUAAGCUGCCAGGCUGGUGGGAAGAGGGCCGUAGGCACAAUUCAGCUGUUCUAACUUUCACUGAAAAAUUGAGACACUGCCGUAGAAGAAUUAAACAGUGGUGUGCCAACGAAUUCUAUAGCAUCAGACGAGUUAAGAACAAACUCUUGGGAGACAUCCAGAACAUCGAUAAAGAGGAAGAAGUGUAUCCUUUAACUCAGGAAUUAGCCGCUUUGAGGGAAGAGCUUAAGACCAAACUGGCCGGGGUGCUCAAGGACGAGGAAGCUCUAUGGAAAAGUAGAGCGAAACAACAUUGGCUACGGGAAGGCGACAGCAAUACCAAAUUCUUUCAUACUGUAGCCAACGGUCGCAGAAGAACGAACAGAAUUGACGCUCUAGAGGAAGAAGGAAGGGUGUAUCAAUCCGAGGGCGAGAAGCAAAAUUUACUUUUCCAGAAGUUCAAGAACCUUUUCACACCUGAAGAUUUUGCACCACACUCUUUCGGGGAUUGGAGUGAGCUCUUUACAACUAGGCGGGUCGAUACGAGCAACCUUGCGCAUANGAGGGAAACUGGGGGCCUAAUUUACAGCCACCAAAGUCCAAAUAAUCGAGUUGGAAAGGAGGAACCCAGUUGUAGGUCAGAUUCAAAACCAAGGAGUUGGAAUUCAGGUCCAUAUAAUCUAACUCUGUAAGAUUAGAAAAAUGAUAUUCUGAAAUAACUCCGACAAGAGAGUUGGAGCUAAGAUCCAAUGAUUUUACCUCACUAAGGUUUCCAAGACAUUCCGAAACAGUGCCAUUUAGCUUAUUUUUAUGCAAAUAUAACAUUUGUAAGGUGGAUAGUUUACAAAAAGAUGUGGGGAUCGAACCGGAAAGUGAGUUAAAUGAAAGAUCAAGAAUAUUUAGAUUGUUCAGGUCACCGAUCCAAUCUGGCAAGUUGCCACUUAGAGAAGUCAGACUUAAGUACAACUCUUGCAAACUGUUUUUGAGACACCCAGAAAAAGACGCUUCGAGUGCAUCUAAUUGGGAAUUAAUUGUGGAGUAUGAUAAAUCUAGCGUGCGAAGCUCACAGAGAUUGCUCAAACUAGACGGUAUCCCGGCAUCAAGGAUAACAUAUUCUAGUUGGAGAACCUUCAGAGAAGCCAAGCUUCCAAUUGCAGAUGGAAUGAGCUCUGUAAAUCCACUAAAAGUGAGAUAAAGAUAUUGAAGGGAAGUAAUUCUAAACAACCAGUCGGGUAAGCUAGGAUUUACUUCGCUGUUAUUAGAAUAAUCAUAGAAUGAUGCAUAAGAAAGAUCCAAAAGGGAAAGAGACGUAAAAUUUACAUGCGGGAGAGAUUGUGGAAAGUUACCGAAGGAGCAGAACUGCAAACGAAUAUCUUGUACUAAAGGAAGCAUGUUCAAUGCUUGCAGCCAAUUAGAUGCAUCGUCAAUCAUAAAAGAGCUCAUAUCAAUAUGAAGUAGAGAGGUGAGUCGAGAAAGCCAAUUCGCGUUGCUCAAUGUAAGCAGAUUAUCGGAAAGAUCGAGGAUUUGAAGCCUUGAGAGAUUUCCGAGCUGAUCGGGUACCAUCCCGUAAAAAUUCGAGUGAGAUAGGUUAAGAUAGUUUAAAUUUUUGAAAGAACCGAUCCACGGCGGAAUCGAGAUGGACCCAAAGUAAUUGUUGCUGAGGUCUAAAUAGCUCAGCUGCUUAAGACGGAGCAAAGAAGGAUCGAUUCUGUUGCUGACGAUUCCCCUCCAUUGAAGAUCUAAAUGCACGACGUGUCCGGUUCGGUCGUUGCACUCCACGCCUUCCCAUUUGCAGCAAUUUUUUCCCUCCCAAGAGGAGAAGCCAGCUGCAACAGUUCGGUUGAAAUCUCCGGCAAACCACAGAAGUGCUUCUCUCUCGGCUUCUGCAGUUCGGUUGAAACCUCCGGCAAAUCUCAGAAGUGCUUCUCUCUCGGCAUCUGGGCAACUCAUAUUAGAAGAUUUGAAUGCCAUUGCAUAAGCGUACAAGAGGAAGAGCAGCAAAGCUCUUAUCAUUGCUUUGUAAUAAUCCAUUCUCAGAUUUUUGUUAUUUAUAUAUUUUAGUUUCUUUUGUGCUGGCUUGUGUACCCAAUGCAUGUAUUGUAAAUUUAUAUAGUUAGCGAAAGCAGGUAGGCUAAGAUGAGGUCAUUAAUUUCCAGGACAACUUUUCUUUGCAGAGAUAGCUUUCAAGAUGACUUGACUUCACUUGACUUAGAGUCUACAUUUGAAUUUAGAGAACUGAAAUUUAAGAGAAAUUUGAAAUAGUCAAGAUCUUGCUUUCGCAUUAAUUUCAUGAUUCAAAUAAUAAAGUCAAGAUGCAUCAUUCCUAUUCAUUUCAUGAAUCAAAUAUUAUUAAAAUAUUAUAGAGAUCUCGUAAUCCCUUACGUUAUCAAGAUAGUGACGAAUCCGCAUAGUAUUUAAAACUGCGUGCAUUUUUCUUAGCUAAUAAAAUUUUAUACGCUGACAAGACAACAAUAUCAAUAAUUAUAAAUAAAAACAACAUUAUAUAUAAAAGAAUUGUGGUAGAAAUUAAUAUUAUUUGCAAUAUCUCGCAAACAUUUUCUUAAACUUUUUUUUGAGAAAAAGGUAGCACGCUACCUGCUUCAUUCAUUUAGAAGAUGAAUAACAUUUUCUUAAACUUUUAAACUUUGUCAACUAACCUUUAGAGCUUUCUUCUGAACUUUUAAUUUUAAUAACUAGGUCUCUUAAACUUAAUCAAAUAAUUUAGUUGGUCUUUUCUCUGAAUCAAAGUUACUAAAAAAACAGUUAAGCAGAUGACAUGCAUGUCCCAAAGAUGAUUCUGUAAAAUUUUAAAAUACAAAAAAAAAAAAGAAAUGCAAAAUACAAAAGUGUCCAUUAUUCAACGUAAUAAUUAUUCUUUUUUUUUUCGAGAAAGAGGUAGCAAGCUACCUGCUUCAUUCAUUAAGCCAAAUGAAAUAAUAAUUCAUCGCAAGUGGCGAGAGAGACCUCUUUAAUUUUCUUGUCGAUAUUUUGAUAGACACUUUUCUCUGCAUUUUAUUUUAUUUUAUUUUUCAGUAUCGUAGUAGACACUUUUCUCCUGUAUUUUAAUGUGGAAAUACUAAUCCUGGGUGCCUCUGCUGAUCACACUCCACCUGAAACACCAGUUAAAAGGGGAAUGCUAUUGUUGCCAAUUAAUUAAAAAUAAAAUAAAAUUUAUAAAAUCAAGAAUAAGUUAUAUACACAACUAAAAUCAAAUAAUGGAGAAUUAGUGAAUGCAAUUUAACCAUUGCCUCUAUUAACAUUAUUUCUUAGUUUCUACGCUAAAUUAUAUAAAAAAAAAAUCUCUAGCACUUUACAAUUGUCUGAAUUAGGUUAAAAAAAUUAAAAUAAUUGUUGAACUCUGUUGUAAAAUAUAUACAUAUUUUUUAUGAGAUAAAAUAUUAUUGUAAUAAUUUGACCUUAUUGGAUCUUUCGUUUCACAAUGCGUAAUAUUCUAGUAAUCUUUCAUAUUUCUUAAUCAAAAUAUUCAAAUUGUCAUCAUAUAAUUGAAGUUGGAAAAUUGUAAGAGGUGUUGGUGAUAUCAUGAAAUUAUGGUAGGCUUCCAACUAAUAGGCAAACUAUAAUAUCAUUGAUUAAAAAGUUUUAUCAUUUCUCUAACACCACAAUAUAUAGUCCCACAUCUGAUGGAAAAAUAAUUCCGAUUGAAUAUAUGAGGCCGCACACGCUAAUAAUAACAACUAGGGUUAAGUAUUUUGGCCAGUAGUUUUGAGCCUAACGAGUUAUUAUUGUUAGCGGGUCGAGUCGUUACAUCUUUACUAAAAUUAUAUAACUAUCUCGCUAAAUCCGUACGUAGCUAUCUCUGUUGCAACUUUUACCAAAUUUCACACUUUGUUAACUAAUUCAUUUAGCUUACAUGCUGCGAAUUUAUGUUAGACCAAGUCACGUUUGAAAUAGGGGGAGAUCGGAUUGCGCCGAGUCAUGUUCGAAAUGGCAUGAGGUUGGAUGGGCCGAGUCACAAUCGGAACCCCUGGGUGUUGUGUCUAUACGUCUCAACUGAAGUGAUUGUAUAUUUCUAACAAAUUAAGCUUUUGAAAUUAAUGAUUUGCUCCAAUGAUUCGACAAGGGGUACUCCACUUUCCUUCUUCUACUCAUCUUCUUUGUUGAACCUUUAACUGAGCUUUAUGAUUCUGCUUUUUUACAUUGCUCUAUUUGCUAGAUCUCUAAGAGCUUUUGUAAUUCAUAUUGCACUAUUUUGGAGACAUGCUGACUGUGUACUUCGUGGUUGUUGUUUCGUUAGAAGUAAUCUCCAGAGUCUCGCGUGUGAAGGGACAAUCUUACUUCUAAGACAGUGUCUAGCACCUCUCGACCCACAAGUCUUAUCUAAAGUUUUAUCUCUAUAAUAUUUUGCAAUUGAUUCUUAUAUGCGAUCUUUCAAAAUAGUUCUUUUAGUAUUUUCAAAUCGAUCGAAGUCUAGUUUCUUCAAGCUAAAUUUAUUUCUAAAAAAAAUAAAUGAAGUGGGUAGCAUGCUAACUUUCUCUCCUAAAACAAAAAUUUACAUCAGAAUAUUUAAAAGGAUAAUUUCUGGUAAAAAAAUGGACAAUUUUUUUAACAGAAUUUACUUGAAUUAUGGAUUAUUUUAAGUCGAAUGGCUGAUUCUUCAGAAUUUUGAUUUUACUAUCUAACAUUUUCAAUUUAUUUGAUUUAAAUUAGUUAACACAAAUUUGACUUAAAAAUUUAAGCUAAUUACUUUUUAGUAAAUUUAUAGUUGUGAGAUUUACAUCCAUAGUCUUUAAAAAUAUAUCUAUGUAGGAGCAGUAAUUGUAUGAAUCUGAGCGUACAAGUCAUUGAAACUGGAUGAACGAAUUAGAACGCAAUACAUGUAGACAAUGAUGUGCACCAUUUGAUUAGAAAAAUCUUAAUUAAGAAGAAAGGAAAAGAAAUGGAAAAAUAUAAUUACGAGAUGAGGUCGCAUGAAAUCAAUUAAAUCUUCAAUUAGGCACAAGUGUACUUGCCCAGAGGCCUUGAUGGAGGAAACUUAUCCUAAUUGGAUUAAAAAUUUCUUACACAAAAAUAUAUCUUUCAUUUGCUUAGGUUAAAUCACGUGAUUUAAAGAGUCAAGUUAAUUUUUGUCUAUGAUAGUAGUUACUCCAUCUACAUUAUGGGACUAAUUGGUCCACUUAUUUUAUUUGGUUUCGUGUAGUUACAACCGCUAUAAUUAUACAUAUUUAUUCUCUUCGGUAGUUUGAAAAUGUCUUUGCUUUCUCUCAAAUUGGAUGAUUUGAAUUUUUUUUUUUUUAUUGAUAUGGCUGGAAUUAGAGUUAAUUUGAGUGUAAUUCCAAUUAUAAUAGUUAGACUUACAUAUGCUGAUCCAAACACUAAUUUAAAUUUAUGGACAAUCAAAACUAUAGUAUAGUAGUACUUGUGCGCAAUCAAAUAGCCACAAUAUCUAGCAAAGAUUAUGGCUGCAGUUUAUAAUUUUUCUUAAAAUAGAGACUCGGAAUUCAAAAAGAAAAAAAAAAAACUCGUUAGCAAAGUGUAAAUUUCCAAUCAAAUUGGAACAUAAAGAAAAAUCCAAUUCAAAAUGAAUUGAGCUUUGAAGAGGUUGAUGGCAAUAAAAUUUGUUGUGCAUCUUAUAUAAAAGUAGAGAAGAGAGAAGUUGUCUUAGGUUGUUUUUUUUUCAGAGAAAAAUAUAGCAUAUUAUCUGCUUUGUUUAUUUUUUUUAGAAAUAAAUUUAGUUGGAAACAUGAAGCAGCUAUGCUUCGAAUUUGGGAUCUCGGGUACUAACUAUCAAGCCAAUUAAUUUGCCACAUGCACUAAGGUGAAAUUAUUUUAGGUUGUAAAUGCUCAUUUUCAUUAAUUAUUUGGUUCUUUGUAAACAAAAUUUCUCAUAAACUCUACUUUUCUAGAAAACGCUGCCCGGAAUGAAGAUCAAGUCAAUGACAAGAUAGACAGAGAAAGGAAAAUUAAUAAAGAAACAUAUAUAACUGCUGUAGUAAUUUUUUUUUUUUUACCCUUUUAUAUACUAGUGUGAACAUUUUUUAAAAAAUAAAUAAAUAAGGGAUAAUUGUAUUCUAAAGCCAUUGACUUUUUNUUCCACAUCUAAUGGAAAAAUAAUUCCGAUUGAAUAUAUGAGGCCGCACACGCUAAUAAUAAUAACUAGGGUUAAGUAUUUUGGCCGGUAGUUUUGAGCCUAACGAGUUAUUAUUGUUAGCGGGUCGAGUCGUUACAUCUUUACUAAAAUUAUAUAACUAUCUCGCUAAAUCCGUACGUAGCUAUCUCUGUUGCAACUUUUACCAAAUUUCACACUUUGUAAAAUAAUUCAUUUAGCUUACAUGCUGCGAAUUUAUGUUAGACCAAGUCACGUUUGAAAUAGAGGGAGAUCGGAUUGCGCCGAGUCAUAUUCGAAAUGGCAUGAGGUUGGGUGGGCCAAGUCACAAUCGGAACCCCUGGGUGUUGUGUCUAUAUGUCUCAACUGAAGUGAUUGUAUAUUUCUAACAAAUCAAGCUUUGGAAAUUAAUGAUUUGCACCGAUGAUUCGACAAGGGGUACUCCACUUUCCUUCUUCUACUCAUCUUCUUUGUUGAACCUUUAACUGAGCUUUAUGAUUCUGCUUUUUUACAUUGCUCUAUUUGCUAGAUCUGAGAGCUUUUGUAAUUCAUAUUGCACUAUUUUGGAGACAUGCUGACUGUGUACUUCGUGUUUGUUGUUUAGUUAGAAGUAAUCUCCAGAGCCUCGUGUGUGAAGGGACAAUCUUACUGCUAAGACAGUGUCUAGCACCUCUCGACCCACGAGUCUUAUCUAAAGUUUUAUCUCUAUAAUAUUUUGCAAUUGAUUCUUAUAUGCGAUCUUUCAAAAUAGUUCUUUUAGUAUUUUCAAAACGAUCGAAGUCUAGUUUCUUCAAGCUAAAUUUAUUUCUAAAAGAGAUAAAUGAAGCGGGUAGCAUGCUAACUUUCUCUCUAAAGACAAAAAUAUUUUCAAAUCAAAAUAUUUAAAAAGGAUAUAUAAUUUUUGGUAAAAGAAUGGACAAUUUUUUUAACAAAAUUUACUUGAAUUAUGGAUUAUUUUAAGUUGAAUGGCUGAUUUUUCAGAAUUUUGAUUUUACUAUCUAACAUUUUCAAUUUGUUUGAUUUAAAUUAGUUAACACAAAUUUGACUUAAAAAUUUAAGCUAAUUACUUUUUAGUAAAUUUAUAGUUGUGAGAUUUACAUCCAUAGUCUUUAAAAAUAUAUUUAUGUAGGAGCAGUAAUUGUAUGAAUCUGAGCCUACAAGUCAUUGAAACUGGAUGAACGAAUUAGAACGCAAUACAUGUAGACAAUGAUGUGCACCAUUUGAUUAGAAAAAUCUUAAUUAAGAAGAAAGGAAAAGAAAUGGAAAAAUAUAAUUACGAGAUGAGGUCACAUGAAAUCAAUUAAAUCUUCAAUUAGGCACAAGUGUACUUGCCCAGAGGCCUUGAUGGAGGAAACUUAUCCUAAUUGGAUUAAAAAUUUCUUACACAAAAAUAUAUCUUUCAUUUGCUUAGGUUAAAUCACGUGAUUUAAAGAGUCAAGUUAAUUUUUGUCAAUGAUAGUAGUUACUCCAUCUACAUUAUGGGGCUAAUUGGUUCACUUAUUUUAUUUGGUUUCCUAUAGUUACAACCUCUAUAAUUAUAUAUAGUUAUUCUCUUCGGUAGUUUGAAAAUGCCUUUGCUUUCUCUCAAAUUGGAUGAUUUGAAUAUUUUUUUUUAUGGAGUUAAAUUUGAGUGUAAUUCCAAUUAUAAUAGUUAGACUUACAUAUGCUGAUCCAAACACUAAUUUAAAUUUAUGGACAAUAAAAACAAUAGUAUAGUAGUACUUGUGCGCAAUCAAAUAGCCACAGUAUCUAGCAAAGAUUAUGGCUGCAGUUUAUAACUUUUCUUAAAAUAGAGACUCGGAAUUCAACAAGAAAAAAAAAAAACUCGUUAGCAAAGUGUAAAUUUCCAAUCAAAUUGGAAAUGAAAGAAAAAUCCAAUUCAAAAUGAAUUGAGCUUUGAAGAGGUUGAUGGCAAUAAAAUUUGUUGUGCUUCUUAUACAAAAGUAGAGAAGGGAGAAGUUGUUUUAGUUUUUUUUUUUUUUCAGAGAAAAAUAUAGCAUAUUAUCUGCUUUGUUUAUUUUUUUUAGAAAUAAAUUUAGUUGGAAACGUGACGCAGCUAGGUUUCGAAUUUGGAAUCUCGGGUUCUAACUAUCAAGCUAAUUUGCCACAUGCACUAAGGUGAAAUUAUUUUAGGUUGUAAAUGCUCAAUUUCAUUAAUUAUUUCGUUUUUUGUAAACAAAAUUUCUCAUAAACUCUACUUUUCUAGAAAACGCUGCCCGGGAUGAACAUGAAGUCAAUUACAAGAUAGACAGAGAGAGGAAAAUUAAUAAAGAAACAUAUAUAACUUUUUUUUUUUUUGAGAAAUAGGAAACAUAUAUAACUGCUGUAGUAAUUUUUUUUUUUACCCUUUUAUAUACUAGUGUGAACAUUUUUUAGAAAAUAAAUAAAUAAGGGAUAAUUGUAUUCUAAAGCCAUUGACUUUUAUCAAGGAACAACGGUAGAAAACACAUUAUUCAUUUGAACAUCACUAACAUUAAAAGCCACUUUUAACUUCACAAUCAAUUACUUUUAAGUAAAUAAAGGGGUUCAAUCUGGGGACUUGGGGAACGACGUGAGAAGCACGUGGGAUAGGUGGAUGUUAAGAAACAGAUCUCAGCCUGUUCGAACAAGAUUGACCAGCUUGAUAGCCUACUGAUGGAUCAACUGGAAUUCAAGAAAUAGUGCUAUUUUUAAGAAUAAAUACGCAGACUCUCUGAUGAUGAUAACUAAGAUCUCAAGAUUGGCUACCCAGUGGAAGGAUUGUCUGUCAUUUAAAAGCCAAGUUUCUUAGGUUUUUUUUUUUUUUUUUUUUUUUUUUUUUUUUUUUUUUUUUUUUUUUUUUUUUGCUUGUGCUUUUGCUUUUACCGAGAUUUUUUUACUUCACUCAUAUUGCUUAAUUCAUACUUCUAACGAAUGAAGUAGGUAGCAUGCUAUCUAUUUCUCAAAAAAAAAAAGAAGAAAAAACUAAACAAACAGGCCCUUUGAGUUGAAAUAUAAUGCAACUCACAUUUCCACGAGUUCGAGUAAUUGCAAGUCGUUUGCGGCGGACUGGCCUAUCUCGGAUGGUCUGGAAGGCUUGGACCUGGUCGGCUUGGACGGUCUGGAUUUGGGCUCCCUGUUGGCCCCUCCAUUCCUCCACUCGGGCCCACCCCUGGCUGUGCCUCUUUUGGUCUGGUGGACUCCUCGGGCUCACUCUUGCCCAGAUCUAUUUGUUUCUCGGGCCCCCCACUCGGGCCCACCCCUAGCAGAUCCCCCUCCUGUCAGGUGGACUACUUGGGUUUCCUUCACCUCGAGGGCCCUUCUCUCGGACCCAUCCCCUUCGCGAUUCUGGUUCUUUCUGCUCCUCGGCAGGUCGACCGUGAAGCUCUCGACUCUGCUUUGAAGCUCUCCUCCCCGACCGCCCCCCCUUCUCUCGGGACCACUGCUGCUUCGGAGAUCUCCACCCUUCAUCCUCCUGGGCCCUCCGCGAACCUGGGUCUUGCUUCGCUGGGCCAGGCCGCUUGCGUUGCUUCAUUGUCUGCCCCGGAAAUCUCCUCUUCAAUCUCCCUCCCUUCUCUCGGGCCCUCCGGAAACCUGGCGCCUGCUGCUCCUGGACCAGCUGUUUGCGAAGCCUCGUUGUCUGCUUCAGAGGCCCCCACUCCGACCAACCGGCCUUCGCUCGUCGUGGAUCCCGCCCCAUUCCCCCCGAGUGAGCCGAGGGGGCCGCCGCCGCCGAGAUCGAGUGCGCGCCUAGUCCAUUUUUCGAAAGGCUCUGCACUUGAGAGGGCGAAGCACCGAAAAGCUCUUCUCCUUGAAGGAGGGACGGGAGCCUUACCGCGCAACUGGAACACCAAAACGCUCUUGUCAAAGAGCUCUCUCUGCGGGGUGACACUCUCCAAUGCUGAAGCAGACGACCUCCAGAGCUUCCUCCUGCGAGGUUGAUCAUCUGAUGGACGAUCCUGUAACUGUGCCCUGUUUUGUGUCUGUCGCUUGUGUGUGUCUCUAUUUUCUCCAUGUUUAGCCUUCUAAGUUGGAAUGUUCGCGGUCUUAAUGACCCAGUCAAACGCAGUUGUGUUAAGUCAGUGGUCUCUAAACUCUUUUGCUCGGUCAUUUGUAUCCAAGAAUCUAAAGUAGAUUCAGUGUCCCGCUCUUUUCUACACUCUUGUUGCGGCUCUACUAUUGACAGAUGUCACUUCACUCCCGCAAUUGGGGCAUCUGUCAAGCGGAACGAGUUUCUACUUAACAAACGUUUAUGGGCCCCCAACCUGGGACGGGAAGGAAACCUUUUGCUCCGAAUUGUUGUCCCUCAACAAUAUCUGCUCUGAUAAUUGGGUCAUUUGCGGCGAUUUCAACUUCACCAGAAACCAAGCGGAACGAACUGGAAAGCAGUGGAGCACCAGAGCCAUGUCCAUGUUCUCUAAUCUCAUUUCGAACCUUGCGGUUAUCGAUCUGCCAAUCUCCAAUCAAAAAUUCACUUGGUCAAACAUGCAACGGACACCAACCCUUGCCAAGCUUGACCGUUUCCUAGUUUCAACAGAUUGGGAUCAAUCUUUCCCCCUUAGUAAGGUCACUGCGCUCCCUCGGAUCACAUCCGAUCAUACUCCGAUCGUUCUUUCUACGAGAACCCACUACACCACACGGAGAUUCCGAUUCGAGAGGGUCUGGCUCACCAAGGAGGAUUUCAUCAACAAAGUUUCGCUAUGGUGGAAAGACGUCACUCCUAAGAGAUCGUCUAUCCUCACCCUAACCGCUAAGCUCAGACACUGCAAAGCCAGAAUGAAAGAAUGGUGCAAGACGAACUUCCAUAGCAUAACUAACGCAAAAAGGGUUCUACAGGAAGAAAUUCAAAGCUUUGAUCUCCUAGAAGAACGGGCUAGCCUGCCUCAGGAAACUCUGGAUAAACGGGCUGACCUUAAAUCGCAACUCCUGCUUAUCAUUAAGGAAGAAGAAAUUCUUUGGAAAACUAGGGCUAAACAGCUUUGGCUCAAGGAGGGCGAGAGUAACAGUAAAUUCUUUCACGCGGUUGCCAACGGGCGUAAGCGAAGCAACGCGAUAGAUUUUAUUGAAGACGAAUCUGGACGCCAAAUCUUUAACGAAGUCCAAAAGAGGUCCUAUAUCUUUCAUUCCUUCAAACGACUGUACGGGCGGGAAGAGGAGGAACCGCCAUCCUUCGGAGACUGGAGUGGCCUCUACAGUGGAGGCACUGUGACUGACCCUGAUUCUCUUACUAGCUCAUUCACACAGGAGGAAAUUAAGAAUGCUACCUUUCAGCUGGGCUGUGACAAGGCCCCGGGACCUGAUGGCUUCUCUCUCACCUUCUUUCAACACUUUUGGGAGAUAGUUAAGGAGGACAUCUUCAAAAUCUUCACCGAUCUCCAUGAUAACACUCUCUCCACGGCCUCAUCUGACUACUCAUAUGUUUGUCUCAUCCCUAAAAAGGAAGGAGCGCGCAAAUUAAAGGACUUCCGACCGAUAAGCCUCAUCAAUGGGAUCCAAAAGAUAAUCUCCAAAGUUCUAGCCAAUAGACUUGCGCGAGUUUUGCCAACAAUUAUCUCCCCAACACAAUCGGCCUUCCUGAAAGAUCGUCUACUGGCUGACUCCUUUGUCACAGCAAGCGAACUUGUUAACUGGUGCUCAAUAAUUGGUAAGGAGUGCGUCACUAUUAAGGUCGACUUUGAGAAAGCUUUCGAUAAUGUCAGAUGGCCCUUCUUGAAAAGUAUCCUGCGAUGGCUCGGUUUCAGCGACAAAUGGUGGAGUUGGAUUGAACAAUGCAUUUGCAAUGCUAAAAUCGCAGUCUUAGUAAAUGAUUGCCCUACAUCGUGGCUGAAAGCACAGAAGGGGGUUAGACAGGGAGACCCGCUCUCCCCCUACCUUUUCAUCUUGGUCGCCGAUUGCCUGACCAGACUCACUGAAACUGCUAGGGCCAACGGCUUGAUUCACGGAAUUGGCCCAACCGCAGACUGUCAAACUGUGCUUCUUCAAUAUGCGGAUGACACAGUCUUUUUUAGCGAACCACGGAAGUCAUACAUGCGUAACCUCCUGUUUAUUUGGAAGAUCUUCGAAUGGGCAUCAGGACUUAAGAUCAAUAGAAACAAAACGGAACUUUACUACCUGGGUUCAAACCCAAGUAGAGCGGAUACACUCGCCGACAUUUUGGGUUGCAGGGUAGGUAGUCUACCGUUCAGAUACCUGGGGUUGCCGCUUCACAACAAACCACUUCGAAGGGAGGAUUGGGAUCUGAUUGUUAACCGUAUAGAAGCACGUAUAGAGGGUUGGAAGGCUAAACUACUAUCACAAGGAGGAAGGCUCACCCUAGUUAACUCGGUGCUGACAAACUUGCCGCUAUUCUACUUCUCCAUUUUCAAAGCGCCACAAUGGGUUUUACACCGUUUAGAAGCCCUAAGAAGAUCCUUCUUCUGGAAAGGGUGUUCCAAGAUUUCUGGGGGAUCUUGUCUAGUCGGCUGGAAAACUAUCUGCAAAAGCAAACAACAGGGAGGAUUAGGAAUAAAAGAUUUGGAAUCAAUGAAUACGGCACUUCUAACCAAAUGGUGGUGGCGCUUUCUAAAUGAGCCACAACUGCUCUGGGGGAAGUUGAUUAGAUCUUUAUACUACAUCAGAAGAAGGCCGUUACACGAGGGAAGAGCUUUCAGACCCUACUCCCAGUGGUGGAAAAGCGUGAUAAAGUGUCGUGACGUGUUCAGAUGUGGCGUUUCCUAUGUCCUCGGAGAUGGAAGAAACAUUAAGAUGUGGCUCGACAUUUGGUUUGGGGAAACCCCUCUUAGCACCAUGUUCCCCGAAAUCUUCGCCGAAAUUGAGCAUAAGGAGGUCACAGUCUCUCAAUGCUGGAACGCUGCCGGCUGGAGAUGGCGUUUCAUAUCCAGAGGGCUCGCAUCAACUCCUUCCCCAAAUAGUCGGAGACAGCUGACGACGCUAAAAGAGCUGCUAACUCUUUACAAUCCAAACAACACACCGGAUGGGCUCAGGUGGCGGUGGACUAGCGGCGAAACUUUUACUGUCAAAUCUCUAUACAACUUUAUUACUGAUGCAGGACAGAGAGACUUGACGUACGUACACGUUUGGAGUUUACGUACUCCGGUCAAAAUUAAAAUCUUCAUCUGGAUUCUGCUUCGCAAAAGACUUCUUACUGCCGAUAGACUGCUUCUUCGUGGCUUCCCCAUAAACCAGCAUUGUGUUUUCUGCGCUAUCUCCUCAGAAAACUGUGACCAUCUCUUUUGCAACUGUGUUUUUGCCAAAUAUCUACUUUACAGUGUAGGAAUUUCUGACACAUCUAACUAUGGCCUGGGGGACGUGCGACGUAUAUGGGCGAAUACCUCUAAUACUCCGGAUGCUACAAUCAGAAUGCAACGUCUAACCUACUUGGCGGCAAUCUGGUGGGUCAUCUGGACGGAACGCAACAACACUAUCUUCCGUGAGUACCUUCCUAAUGCUACCAGGGCUCUUGAGCGCGUAUCUAACUUGAUGAUUGCUUGGACUUCUAUAUUUUAAAGUCUCACUUGUUCGACCUGUACUUUCUACAUUCGCUCUUGUUUCCUUUCUUCUCCUUUUCCUUCUUCUUUUUUGCUUUUUUUAGGAGGCCCUGGCUGCUUCCAAUAUGUAAGCCUAGUUCAUUUCGCUUGAUGAAUGAAGCAGGUAGCUUGCUACCUCAUUCUCAAAAAAAAAAGAGUAAUUGCAAGAGUUCGAUAUUUUUGUUCCAUCCACUAGCUAUAAGGUUAGUAUUGAAUUAAUUUUCUUACAUUGCUUUACUUUCCCGCAGGAAAGGAGAAAUUUUAUGAUAAAAUAGGAAUAAAAGAAACUAUAUCAAGAGAAGUACUUCCUAAUUGGUUCAAAUGAGAAACAUUUGGCAGCAUAUAGAAAAGAGAAUUCUGCUUUUAUUUAUCAAAAUUGAUUAACUUUCAGAUCAAUACAUUUCAGCCGUCAAUUGUGUUUGUUUUUUACAUCUUUUUCGUAAGUCUUGCAAAGUAUACUCUAGCGGUUACAUAGAGACUGUCAUACAAGCUAUCUACAUAUUGGAACCACCAAACCCUACAUGUCUUGCGUACCAAUAGAACUCCGAUAAUAGUCCAAAACCCAACUGCAAAUCCUGCUAUUGUAAUAAGGCAAAGGAGUAAGAUCUCUUUUCGAUUUUCAUCUGCCUUUUUUGAAACAUCAGAUCCUGCACGACCAUUAACAGUCGGUGGAGUACGACUUAACUGGCCAAUUGUCGGGCCUUCGGCUUGGCCUGCAUUGCUUGUGCAUCUCACACUUAAUGGAAAUCCGCAAAGAUAUUGGUUUCCGACAUAUAUGUUAGGAUCGGGGAAUGUGUCCAUUUGCCUUCCGGUCGGAAUUCUUCCCGAAAAGUUGUUGUAAGAUAAGUCCAAGAAGUCCAAGAAGGUUAAGUUGGACAAGCUAGAAGGAAUUGCUCCUGAUAAUUUGUUUCUCGACAAGUUGAGAGAUUCUAGCUGCAUCAUAUUGCCGAUGUUGGAUGGUACUUGUCCCAUUAGAUCAUUACUCGACAAGUCCAAUAUCAGCAAUCCAAGAAGAUUUGUUAUUUCAUCGGGUAUGCGUCCUGACAAGCUAUUCCUAGAGAGAUCCAAGAUCGUAAUCUGCGAAAGAAGAUUGUUACCAUAUCGAUCUUCUCUUCCUUUGAUGUCCAAUAUCAUAUUCUCCUCAUAGUUAUAUACUGAGUUAUUUAGGAUGAAUCCAAUGUUUGUAAGAGGGGUCCUCAUGGACAUGAAGUUGCCGAAGCUUAUCGGUAUCGGCCCUGAAAGAUUGUUGUUUGAGAGGUCUAAGAUUUGGAGAGCAGUAAGAUUAGAGAGUUCUGUUGGAAUUCGGCCGACAAACUUGUUUGAUUUCAAGCUAAGAAUCUUGAGAGACGAGAGCUCUCCAAGCCAGAUCGGGAUCCUUCCUGUAAACAUGUUACCACCAAGAUCAAGAGUAUCUAGACUCUUGCAGGUCUUUAAGGAUGACGGAAGCUCUCCGGAUAAACUGUUUCCCCUUAGGUGCAAGGAUUGAAACUGAGGCGAUUCACAAAGCCAUUCGGGUAUUCCUCCGGAAAGAUUAUUAUUUGAAAGAUCCAAAACUUCUAAUUGAGUAUUAUUUUGACAGUUUGGGAGCUCUCCUGAUAAAUUAUUGUUUGAGAUUGAUCUGCUAAUCAAUUGUGAACUACAAAUAGACAUGGGGAUCCUGCCAUUUAUUCUAUUCCUCGACAACAAAAGCGCACUUAAAUUAGGCAUUAGCUGGAAAAUAUCAUCAGGAAUAGGGCCCAUAAAUGAAUUGCUUGACAAAUCUAGUUGUGCCGUGUUUGACGGAAAACGUGGCACUGGUCCCUCAAAGAAGUUGGAACUUAAAUCAAUAAAUAAAUCUGUAUCAGCCCUGAAUUUUAUUAAGUUGGGUAUCUCACCAUGUAGCUCAUUAUUAGCGAGAUAAAUGGUAGAAAGAUUGGUCAUUGAGUUCCAAAACCAAUUUGGCACUGAAUCCGAAAUCCCCGUGGAAGAUAGAUCGAGGUGGGCUAGAGACUUCUGAGUCUGUAGCCAUGAGGGAAAUUGGGGGUCUAAUUUACAGCCACCAAAGUCCAAAUAAUCGAGUUGGAAAGGAGGAACCCAGUUGUAGCUCAGAUUCAAAACCAAGGAGUUGGAAUUCAGGUCCAUGUAAUCUAACUCUGUAAGAUUAGAAAAAUGAUAUUCUGAAAUAACUCCGACAAGAGAGUUGGAGCUAAGAUCCAAUGAUUUUACCUCACUAAGGUUUCCAAGGCAUUCCGGAACAGUGCCAUUUAGCUUAUUGUUAUAUAAAUAUAACACCUGUAAGGUGGAUAGUUUACAAAAAGACGUGGGGAUCGAACCGGAAAGUGAGUUAAAUGAAAGAUCAAGAAUAUUUAGAUUGUUCAGGCCACCGAUCCAAUCCGGCAUGUUGCCACUUAGAGAAGUCAGACUUAAGUACAACUCUUGCAAACUGUUUUUGAGACACCCAGAAAAAGACGCUUCGAAUGCAUCUAAUUGGGAAUUAAUUGUGGAGUAUGAUAAAUCUAGCGUGCGAAGCUCACAGAGGUUGCUCAAACUAGACGGUAUCCCGGCAUCAAGGAUAACAUAUUCUAGUUGGAGAACCUUCAGAGAAGCCAAGUUUCCAAUUGAAGAUGGAAUGAGCUCUGUAAAUCCACUUUCAGUGAGAUAAAGAUAUUGAAGGGAAGUAAUUCUAAACAACCAGUCGGGUAAGCUAGAAUUUACUUUGCUGUUAUUAGAAUAAUCAUCGAAUGAUGCGUAAGAAAGAUCCAAAAGGGAAAGAGACGUAAAAUUUACAUGCGGGAGAGAUUGUGGAAAGUUACCGAAGGAGCAGAACUGCAAACGAAUAUCUUGUACUAAAGGAAGCAUGUUCAAUGCUUGCAGCCAAUUAGAUGCAUCGUCAAUCAUAAAAGAGCUCAUAUCAAUAUGAAGUAGAGAGGUGAGUCGAGAAAGCCAAUUAGCGUUGCUCAAUGUAAGUAGAUUAUCGGAAAGAUCGAGGAUUUGAAGUCUUGAGAGAUUUCCGAGCUGAUCGGGUACCAUCCCGUAAAAAUUCGAGUGGGAUAGGUUAAGAUAGUUUAACUUUUUGAAAGAACCGAUCCACAGCGGAAUCGAGAUGGACCCAAAGUAAUUGUUGCUGAGGUCUAAAUAGCUCAGCUGCUUAAGACGGAGCAAAGAAGGAUCGAUUCUGUUGCCGACGAUUCCCCUCCAUUGAAGAUCUAAAUGCACGACGUGCCCGGUUCGGUCGUCGCACUCAAUGCCUUCCCAUUUGCAGCAAUUUUUUCCCUCCCAAGAAGAGAAGUCAACUGCAGUUAGGUUGAAAUCUCCGGCAAACCACAGAAGCGCUUCUCUCUCGGCUUCUGCAGUUCGGUUGAAACCUCGGGCAAACCUCAGAAGUGCUUCUCUCUCAGCAUGUGGGCAACUCAUAUUAGAAGAUUUGGAUGCCAUUGCAUAUGCGAACGAGAGGAAGAACAGCAAAGCUCUUAUCAUUGCUUUGUGAUAAUCCAUUCUCAGAUUUUGUUAUUUAUAUAUUUUUAUUUCUUUUGUGCUGGCUUGUGUAUCGAUGCAUGGAAUGCAAAUAUAUAGUUAGUGAAAGCUUGUAGGCUGAAGAUGAGGUCAUUAAUUUCCAAGCGAACUUCUCUUCGCAGAGAUAGCUUUCAAGAGAACUACAAUUUAACAGAAAUUAGAAAUAGUCAAGAUCGAGCUGGCGCUUCUCAUUAAUUUCAUGAUUCAAUAAUAGAGUCAAAGAUUUCAAUAAUAGAGAAAGAUUCCACGCUCGUAUUAAUUUUUUUUUGAGAAAAAGGUAGCAAGCUACCUGCUUCAUUCCGCUCGUAUUAAUUUCAUAAAUCAAAUACUAUUGAAAGUUGUAACGAAUCCACCUAAUAUUUAAAACUGCAUGUGAUUUUACUUGGCUAAUAAAAUUCUAUACGCCGAUGAGACAACAACAUCAAUAAUCAAUAAUUAUAAUUAUAUGUAUAAAAAUAACAUUAUAUAUAAAAGAAUGAGCUAAGCUAGUAUACUAUUGGUAGCACGAAGGUCUUUUUGCUACUAAGUUGUUUUAAAUAUUACGGCUUCUAAAUCGACGAUCGGCUCCGUUAAACUUAAUCUAGACUAUUAAAAGUAUUGAAAAAUUAAAUUUCAUAAAUUUUCGACAUUAUUUACCUAUCAAACGAAUAGUCAAAAAAUGAACGGCUGAAAAUAAAAAUUUCAUAAAAAAUAAUGAAAAAAUACUUGAAUUUAAGAUCAGAGGACUGAUCUUACUCUAAAUAGUGAAAAGAAUUUUUUAUAAAAAUUUUAUCAGAUUUGGAUAAUUUUAUACCGUUAAAUUCACAAACGCAUCACAUUGACCAUUAAAAUUGUCAAUUUUGAAAUCUUUUGAUCACUAGCCAAAUGAUGUCGAAAAAUUAUGAAAUUUAGUUUCCAAAUACUUUUAAUAGUGUAGAUCAAGUUUAACGGAGCCGAUCAUCGAUUUGGAAGCCGUAUCAUGAAAAACAAUUUGAUAGUACAAAGGCCUCCGUGCUACCAAUACCGAUAGUAUACCAAUAUAGCUCUAAAAGAAUUAUGGUAAAAAUUAAUUUUAUUAGCAAUAAAUGUGCAAACACUUUCUUAAACUUUUAAACUUUGUCAACUUGCUUUUAGAAUUUUCUUCCGAACUUUCAAUUUUGAUAACUCUCUUAAAGUUAAUCAAAUAAUUUGAUCGGCGCUUCCCUUCAAUUGAAGUUUUUUUGAGGAGAGGUAGCAAGUUAUCUGUUUCAUUCAUUGAAUGUAUGAAUUAGGCUACAGAGAUGAGGCAACACGGGCAUCGAAAAACGAUACAACAGUCAUAAAAGAAAAAAAAAAGAAAAAAAGAAAAAAAGGAGAAGAACAAAAAAAAAAAAAAAAAAAAAACACUAAAGGACCGGUCAUAAGAGGGGUUCCGAGUACUUCAGAAGCUGCUUAAUCCGUUGUACAACCAAAACAGGGUCGAAAUGGACGUUUCGAAAAUCAAAUCAUUCCUGGGCUUCCAAAUGGUCCACCAGCAAGCGACCAAUUCAGAUAAGUUAUUUUGCUUAUUAUGCAUCCCUUUUUUGGCCAACCACCUAUCUCAGAUGUAACGUACGUCUUCUUCCAUCUCACCAGCCUGAACUCCUUCUCGAAUCAUCACCAAACUUCCUCUCGAAUCAUCCCAUCUUCCCUUCAAUUGAAGUUACUACUUAAAUAGUUACGAUGAUGGCAUAUCCUGUAAAUGAUUCCGUAAAACUUUAAAAUACAAAAAAAAAAUAAAAAACGAAAUACAGAAGUGCCAUUAUUCAGCUUAAUAAUUAUUGAUUGCAAGUGGUGGAGAGAGAGAACUGUUCACACGAUUGUGGACUCUCAUUUAAUUUUCUUGUCGACAUUUUGAUAGACACUUUUCUCUUGCAUUUUAUUUUUUGUGAUUAAUUUUUAAUAAUUUCGUAGAGACAUCCAUAAUAUUUUGUAAUUUUUGAUAGAUAUAUUUGAAAUUGGCCCUCUAUAUAUUUGGACGUGUUUGUAUUUGACAAUCGGCAACUCCGGUCAGAUGUCCUUGGUAGAUGUAUCCUCGAAACCGUGCUCUGUUGGAAGUCUGUGUUAAGCACUCCUAUCUGUGUUAGGCACUCCUAGCAGCUAGGUGUUUCUUCUGCUUCUGUUUCUGCUUGUUUGCCGUGUCCCUUACGGUCGUGUAAUGGCCUCUUUGUUACUUGGUCGUGUGUUGGGCUUAGGGAUGCAAACGGGACGGAUCUGGGGACGGGAACCCCGCCCCGACUACAAAAAGUUCGCCCUGCCUCCCGCCCAGAAUCCGUGACGAGUUGAAAGUAAUUAUCUCAUAAUCCGCCCCGCCUUAUAACCUGCCCCCCGCCGGCGCCCCGAAUCCGCCUGGCCAAAUAGUAUUUAUUUUCUAAAUUAUAAUAUUAUUAAUAUUUUAUAAAUAUAAAUCAACAAAAUUUUUAAUAUUAAUUGAUAAUAUUAUGAAGUUAUAUAUAAUUAAUAAUAUCAACUAUAAAAAUCAAAAAUAUCAAUCACAACUCACAACAAAAUUCAAAAAUUUUAAAUACAUACAUAUGGAAAAAUUUUAAAGACAUACAUUCGGGGCGGAUUCGGGGCGAUUCGGGGCAGAUCAUGGCGGGGCGGAUUCGGUGGCGGAUCAAAAUUUUCCGUUUCUCUGCCCCGAUUCGCACGGAUCAUAAAAAUUGUCCAUUUACCUGGCCCGAAUCCGUUUAUUUCCUCUGCGUUUACUGCUCUAAUUCGGGGGGUCGGGGUGGAGCUUCCACCACCCUGAUCCAUUUGCAAUCCUAUUGGGCUCUCUUUGCCUCGCUAUGGUUUAAAGAGCCACACACCCGGCCUCUCUGCUCAUGUUCUCUGUGAAAAUAGGGUUUACCCCUGUUUACUCAAAAUAUAUUUUGGACGUGUUGGUUAGUUUUCUUUACUCUGGAAUCGGGAAUGGACUGAAUCUGCUUAUGAAUGUUUGGUAUGGAAAUUCCCAUUCCGAUUCCGAUUUCCGAGUGGAAAGAAAAUUUUCCAAAUCAUCUUCUUUUUUUCCAAUCCGGUUUAAGAGAACAGGAUGGAAGGUUGAAUCCGGACGAAUGGAUUUUAAUUCGAUUAUAAUUUAUUUUUUUUCACACAUUUUUUUAAUUAUAAUAAUGAGUUUAAAUUUAGAAAUUAUAAUAUAUAAUUUAAAUUUAAUUUGAACUUGAAUGUAAAAAUUAAAUUUAAUCAAGUAGUUUUGAAAUCUAACUUAUAAGUGAAUUUAAAUUAAAUUUUAAUUUAUUUAAGUUUUAUUCAAAAUUUUAUUUAAAACUUAAAUUAAUUUUUGAUUCAAUUAGAAAUUAUAAAUUGUAAUUUUAAGUUUGAAUUUGAAUAAAUCGAAAUUAGGUUUUAUAUAUUUGAAUUAUCAACUCAACUUCAAAGUUUAUUUUUUUAAAAGAGGGAGAGUAAGUUGAAAUUGUGACCAGUGUGAGUCACAAAAUUUUGAUAUAAAUUUUUAAUAUUUAAUUUUUUAUUUGAAUUUAAAUUAAUAUAUUAUAAAGAUAAAGUCAAUAUAUUAAUUUGAUUAUGUUUUUUAUAUCUACCUUAACCAAAGACCGACGAUGGGAAUGAUUUAUUUCGAUUCCGAUUUAGGUGAUGAAUCAAAUAGAAUUAGGUAAUAAAUUAUUCCGAUUCUGAUUCCAGUUUAUCUCGAUUCCAAUUCCGACUUCGAACCAAACAAUUUAGGGGGCUAGUUUGAUUUGCUCUUUAUUAACCCCAAAUCAGAAUCGAAAUGAUAUCUUUGGAUUCUAGGCCAUAAUCCUAUUCGAUUUCAUUUUCAUUUUCGCCCCAGAAUGGGAAUUCGCUAAUUCAAGUAAAAGCCAAUCAGGCCUCGAACAUGGAAUUAAAGCUCGACUCCGGCAUCAUAUGAUCUAGGAAAAAUAAAAACUUGUUUGUGCAAAAAAAAAAAAANUGGCCCUGAGACGAUAGCGGGUUGGUUGGAAACGGGAGCAUCCGAAAGGCUAGGAGGGCCGAUGGCGAGUGCAAGAGAAGAAGACAGCCCAGCGGGAUCCCCCGAAAGGCAAGAGGGUCUAGCAGUUAAAACCGGAUUGGAGGAUGCAGCCUCAUGAAUGGGCCCACAAGCAAGCUGGGACCCCUAACCGAGAGGAGGGCAGGCCGCAAGGGUCGGGUUUGGGCUCGUCUCAUGGCCCGCGAGAGGCGAGGCCAAGCCCGAUCCAGGCGGAGUAGUAUGAAGCGAGUCACGGGUGUUUUCCUCCGGAAUGGAGGUUGCAGCCUCAUGAAUAGGUCCACAAGCAAGCUGGGUCCCCUGUUCGAGAGGAGGGCAGGCCGCAAGGGUCGGGUUUGGGCUCGUCUCAUGGCCCGCGAGAGGCGAGGCCAAUCCCGGUUCAGGCGGAGUCGUAUGAAGCGAGUCACGGGUGCUUUCCUUUCCUCUCCUCAAACAGCUGCUUAAUCCGUUGUACAACCAAAACAGGGUCGAAAUGAACGUUUCGAAAGAUCAAAUCAUUCCUGGCCUUCCAAAUGGUCCACCAGCAAGCGAUCAAUUCAGAUAAGUUAUUUUGCUUAUUAUGCAUCCCUUUCUUGGCCAACCACCUAUCCCAGAUGUAACGUACGUCUUCUUCCAUCUCCCCAGCCUGAACUCCUCGAAUCAUCGCCAAACUUCCUCUCGAAUCAUCCCAUCUUCCCUUCAAUUGAAGUUACUACUUAAAUAGUUACGAUGAUGGCAUAUCCUGUAAAAGAUUCCGUAAAACUUUAAAAAACAAAAAAAAAAAAAACGAAAUACAGAAGUGCCAUUAUUCAGCUUAAUAAUUAUUGAUUGCAAGUGGUGGAGAGAGAGAACUGUUCACACGAUUGUGGACUCUCAUUUAAUUUUCUUGUCGACAUUUUGAUAGACACUUUUCUCUUGCAUUUAAUUUUUUGUGAUUAAUUUUUAAUAAUUUCGUAGAGACAUCUAUAAUAUUUUGUAAUUUUUGAUGGAUAUAUUUGAAAUUGGCCCUCUAUAUAUUUGGACGUGUUUGUAUUUGACAAUCGGCAACUCCGGUCAGAUGUCCUUGGUAGAUGUACCCUCGAAACCGUGCUCUGUUGGAAGUCUGUGUUAAGCACUCCUAUCUGUGUUAGGCACUCCUAGCAGCUAGGUGUUUCUUCUGCUUCUGUUUGUGCUUGUUUGCCGUGUCCCUUACGGUCGUGUAGUGGCCUCUUUGUUACUUGGUCGUGUGUUGGGCUUAGGGAUGCAAACGGGGCGGAUCUGGGGCGGGGGGGGCCCCGCCCCGCCUCCCGAUCCGACUACAAAAAGUCCGCCCCGCCUUCCGUCCAGAAUCCGUGACGAGUUGAAAAUAGUUAUCCCAUAAUCCGCCCCGCCUUAUAACCUGCCUCCCGCCGGCGCCCCGAAUCCGCCCCGCGAAAUAGUAUUUAUUUUAUAAAUUAUAAUAUUAUUAAUAUUUUAUAAAUAUAAAUCAACAAAAUUUUUAAUAUUAAUUGAUAAUAUUAUGAACUUAUAUAUAAUUAAUAAUAUCAACUAUAAAAAUCAAAAAUAUCAAUCACAACACGCAACAAAAUUCAAAAAUUUUAAAUACAUACAUAUGGAAAAAUUUUAAAGACAUACAUUUGGGGCGGAUUCGGGGCGGAUUCGGGGCAGAUCAUGGCGGGGCGGAUUCGGUGCGGAUCAAAAAUUUUUUCGUUUCCUGCCCCGAAUCCGCCACGGAUCAUAAAAAUUGCCCCGUUUCCUGCCCCGAAUCCGUUUAUUUCCUCCCGUUUACUGCUCCAUUCAGGGCGGAUCGGGGUGGGAGCUCCACCACCCCGGAUCCAUUUGCAUCCCUAGUUGGGCUCUUUACUGCUUGGUUUAAAGAGCCACACACCGCCCCCUCUCUGCUCCUGUCUCUGUAAAACAGGGUUUACCCCUGUUUAAUCAAAAAUAUAUUUGGACGUGUUUGGUUAGUUUUCUUUUACUCUGGAAUCGGAAUGGACGAAUCUGCUUAUGAAUGUUUGGUAUGCGAAAGUCCCAUUCCGAUUCCGAUUCCCGAAUGGAAAGAAAAUUUUCCAAUCAUCUCUUUUUCCAAUCCGGUUUAAGAGGCCAGAUUGGAAGUUGAAUCCAGACGGAAUGGAUAUUUAUUCGGAUUAAAUUUAUUUUUUCAAUUUUUUUAAUUAAUAUGAGUUUAAAUUUAGAAAUUAAAUAUAUAAUUUUAAAUUUUAAUUUGAACUUGAAUUAAAAAUUAAAAUUUAAUCAAGUAUUUUGAAUCUAACUUAUAAAUUUGAAUUUAAAUUAAAUUUUAAUUUAUAUUAAGUUUUAUUCAAAUUUUAUUUAAAACUUAAAUUAAAUUUUUGGAUUCAAAUUAAAAUUAAAAUUAUAAUUUUAAGUUUGAAUUUGAAUAAAUCGAAAUUAGUUUUAUAUUUUGAAUUAUCAACUCAACUUCAAAGUUUAUUUAAAAAAAAAAAAAUAGAUUUAAAAUUUUGACAUUAUUACAAAAUUUUGAUAUAAAUUUUUAAUAUUUAAUUUUUUAUUUGAAUUUAAAUUAAUAUAUUAUAAAGAUAAAGUUAAUAUAUUAAUUUGAUUAUGUUUUUUAUACCUAUCUGAACCAAACACCGAUAAUGGAAAUGAUUUAUUUCGAUUUCGAUUUAGGUGAUGAAUCAAAUAGAAUUAGGUAAUGAGUUAUUCCGAUUCUGAUUCCAGUUUAUUUCGAUUCCAAUUCCGACUUCGAACCAAACAAUUUAGGGCUAGUUUGAUUUGCUCUUUAUUAACCCCAAAUCAGAAUCGAAAUGAUAUCUUUGGAUAAUGCAAUGAAUAAUUCAAUCUAGCUAUUCUAAUUUCAAUUCCAACUUUGAAUCAAAUAUUUUCUUUAUAGUGCAAAUUGUUAAACAACCGUUAUACUCUAAAAUUUUAAACUCUAAAAGUUUAAGAGUUUAAGCUUUUAGAGUAUAACAGUUGUUUAAUAUGAUAUCAGAGCAGAAAAUUUUUAAUUCGACUCACGUCAAACUCCUACUAUUAUUAAUUUUUUUCUAUUUAAUUCAAGUUUACGUCGUGAACCAUCAAAAAGUGUUUAGUCCUAAUAUGAAGGAGAUUGUUAAAUAUAAAAAUAUUUAAAAUAUUGUUCUCUAUCAAUUUAAGUUUUUAAAGUUCAACGGUUGAUUAACAAAUAAGUUUAAAGACCGACCGUCUCUAGAGCAAGUGGCAAAGGACUUGGCGGUUGGUAUUCGAGACCCAAGUUCGAAUCCUAGUUGAUUCACAUUUCUAGCUAAGUUUAUUUCUAAAUGAAAUAAACGAAGCGGGUUGCGUUCUACCUAUCUCUCUCAAAAAAAAAAAAAAAGAAAGAAAAAAAGCACAAUUAAGGUAUCAAAUUAGGUCGUGCGGGUCUGUGUACGUUGUGACUAAUUGCUCUACAAUAGGACUUAAACGAAAGACUAAUCAUUCAAUUUUAGUGUAAAAUAACGGAUUUAACUCCCGUCUAGAGCCGCUUUGACAAAAUUAACUUGUUGCUAUCAAAAUUAAGUUUGAUCAUCUGCAAAAUUAACUUGUCGCUCUCAAAAUUAAGUUUUCCUUCAAUGCUUUAUUACAUUUCCUAAAAAAAGAAAUUUCAUAAUAAAAUAAGAAAAAAAAAAACUCUAUCAACAGUAGUCCUUCCUAAUUGGUCCAAAUGAGAAACUUUUGGCAACAUAUAGAAAAGAGAAUUCUGCUUUUAUUUAUCAAAAUUGAUUAAACUUACAGAUCAUUACAUUUCAGCCAUCAAUUGUGUUUAUUUUUGACAACUUUUUCUUAAGUCUUGCAAACCAUACUCUAGAGGUUACAUAGAGAGUGUCAUACAAGCUAUCUACAUAUCGAAACCACCAAAUCCUAAAUCUUUUAUCUAUCAACAAAACUCCAGUAAUAGUCCAAAACCCAACUGCAAAUCCUGCUAUUGUAAUAAGACAAAGGAGUAAGAUCUCUUUUUGAUUUUUGUCUGUAUUUGCUGAAAAAUCAGAUCCUGCAUGACCAUUAACAGUUGGAGUAUGACUCACUUGGCCAAUUGUCGGGCCUUCGGCUUCACCUUCAUUGCCUGUGCAACUCACAUUUAAUGGAAAUCCGCAAAGAUAUUGGUUUCCGACGUAUAUGUUAGGAUCAGGGAAUGUGUCCAUUUGUUUUCCGGUCGGAAUUCUUCCCGAGAAGUUGUUGUAAGAUAAGUCCAAGAAGUCCAAGAAGCUUAAGUUGGACAAGCUAGAAGGAAUUGCUCCUGAUAACUUGUUUCUCGACAAGUUGAGAGAUUCUAGCUGCAUCAUAUCGCCGAUCUUGGAUGGUACUUGUCCCGUUAGAUCAUUACUCGACAAGUCGAAUACCAACAAUCCGAGAAGAUUUGUUAGUUCAUCGGGUAUGUGUCCUGACAAGCUAUUCCUAGAGAGAUCCAAGAUUGUCAUCUGCGAAAGAAGAUUGCUACCAUAUUGAUCUUCUCUUCUUUUGAUGUCCAAUAUCAUAUUCUCAUCAUAAUUAUAUACUGAGAAGUUUAGGAUAGAUCCUAUGUUUAUAAGAGGGGUCCUCAUCGACAUGAAGUUGCCGAAGCUUAUCGGUAUCGGCCCUGAAAGAUUGUUGUUUGCAAGGUCUAAGAUUAGGAGACCAGCAAGAUUAGAGAGUUCUGUCGGAAUUCGACCAACAAGCUUAUUUGAUUUCAAGCUAAGAAUCUUGAGAGACGAUAGCUCUGCAAGCCAGAUCGGGAUCCUUCCUGUAAACACGUUACCACCAAGAUCAAGAGUAUCUAGACUCUUGCAGGCCCUUAAGGAUAAGGGAAGCUCUCCCGAUAAAUUGCUAUUCCUUAGGUGCAAGGAUUGAAACCGAGGCAAUUCACAAAGCCAUUUGGGUAUUCCUCCAGAAAGAUUAUUAUUUGAAAGAUCCAAUACUUCUAAUUGAGUAUUAUUUUGACAGUUUGGGAGCACUCCUGAUAAAUUAUUGUUUGAGAUUGAUCUGGUAAUCAAUUGUGAAUCACAGAUAGACACAGGGAUCCUGCCACUUAUUUUAUUCAUCGACAACGAAAGCACACUUAAAUUAGGCAUUAGCUGGAAAAUAUCAUCAGGAAUAGAGCCCAUAAAUGAAUUGUUUGACAAAUAUAGUUGUGCCGUGUUUGACGGAAAAUGGGGCACUGGUCCCUCAAAGAAGUUGGAACUUAAAUCAAUAAAUAAAUCUGUAUCAUCACUGAAUUUUAUUAAGUUGGGUAUCACACCAUGUAGCUCAUUAUUAGCAAGAUUAACAGUUGAAAGAUUGGUCAUUGAGUUCCAAAACCAAUUUGGCACUGAAUCUGAAAUCCCCGUAAAAGAUAGAUCGAGGUAGGCUAGAGACUUCUGAGUCUGAAGCCAUGAGGGAAACUGGGGGCCUAGUUUACAGCCGCGGAAGACCAAAUCACUGAGUUGGAAAGGAGGAACCCAAUUGUGGCUCAGAUUCAAAACCAACGAGUUAGAAGUCAGGUCGAUGAUCUCCAACUUUGUAAGAUUAGAAAAAUGAUAUUCUGAAAUAACUCCGAUGAGAGCGUUGAAGCUAAGAUCCAAAGAUUUUAGCUCACUAAGGCUUCCAAGACAUUCCGGGACAUUGCCAUUUAAGUUAUUGUGAUAAAAAUAUAACAACUGUAAUGUGGAUAGUUUACAAAGAAAGGUGGGGAUCGAACCGGAGAGCGAGUUUCCUGAAAGAUCAAGAGUACUUAGAUUGUUUAGGUUACCUAUCCAAUCCGGUAUGUUGCCGCUUAGAGAAGUGAAAUCUAAAUCCAAGUCUCGCAAACUGUUUUGGAGACACCCAGAAAACAACUCACCGAAUGUGUCCAAUUGGGUGUUAAUUUUGGAAUCUGUUAAAUAUAGCGUGCGAAGCUCACAGAGAUUGCUCAAACUAGACGGUAUUCCGGCAUCAAGGUCAACAAACUCUAGUUCGAGAACCUUGAGCGAAGUCAAGUUUCCAAUUCCAGAUGGGAUGAGCUCAGUAAAUUUACUAUAACUGAGAUAAAGAUACUGAAGGGAAGUAAUUCUAAACAACCACUCGGGUAAGCUAGAAUUUACUUCGCUAUUAUUAGAAAAAUCCCAAACUAAUGCGCCAGAAAGAUCCAAAAGGGAAAGAGAGGUAAAAUUGACAUACGGGAGGGAUUGUGGGAGGUUAUCCAAUUUGCAGUACGCCAAACGAAUGUCUUGUACUAAAGGAAGCAUGUUCAAUGCUUGUAGGCAAUUAGAUGUAUUCUCAAUCGAAGAAUAGCUAAUAUCAAUAUGAAGUAGAGAGGUGAGUUGAGAAAGCCAAUCAGCAUUACUCAAUGUAAGAUUGUUACCGGAAAGAUCGAGGGUUUGAAGUCUUGAUAGAUUUCCGAGCUGAGCGGGUACCACCCCGCAAAAAUACGAAAACGAG